rnacentral:lncRNA from 1 species
GAGUUGAACAUCUCAAUCGCCACCAACACCGAGAGGGAGAGCGUGGACGCUUUGAUCUUCCCCUGAUGGAAGUACUCGCACGGGUUUGACUCGAAGGAGAAUGUCUGAGAGCCGGCUGUGAAUGGUGAGACUUUGAAGCCUUCCCAUGAUGAGCACUGCCCCCAGUGAGCUAGCUGUGAGUAGCUCACAAGGCUGUGACCGUCUUGGCUCAGGUCUAUGCCCAUGAAGCUGCUGUGUGUGUACCAUAUGAUGAAUACUCCCACCGUCGCUACUCCCACGUACAUACCAAUCACCUGUAGACAAAAGUUAACCCACAUUAUUAAUCAAGAGUUUCAAAAAAACAAGUGAGAAGAAUGUGUGUGUUGCUGCAUACCAGAUAGCGGAAGAGGAUCCAGGCAGUGAUAAGCGAGUCAUCGCUUCUGCGAGGAGGCUUCUUCAUGAUAUCCUUGUCAGGGGGAUUGAAUCCCAAAGCCGUAGCUGGAGGACCGUCUGUUACGAGAUUCACCCACAGAAGCUGAACUGGGAUCAUGCCUUCUGGGAUUCCAAGUGCAGCUGUCAAGAAUAUCGAUGCAACCUCACCAAUGUUGGAAGAGAUCAUGUACCUUUUUUAUUCAUCACCAUAUAGUCAGAGAUUGAUAGGAUCAGUAUAUGUUACUACAUAACUCGAGCCUUUCUAUAAAAAGUAACUAACAGAAGACUCACCUGAUGAAAGCCUUCAUGUUGUUAUAGAUGGACCUGCCUUCACCAACAGCUGCCACAAUAGUGCUGAAGUUAUCAUCUGCUAACACCAUGUCUGAUGCCUCCUUUGCUACCUGCAAGAAAUAACCUCAGAGCUUUAGAAAGCUGAUAGAGCCAUAAUCAUCCCGUUUCAUAAAACCGAAAUAAAUCGUUCUUGCAGAAGAGAUGAGAGAGACAUGUACCUCUGUGCCAGAGAUACCCAUAGCCACACCUAUAUCAGCCAACUUAAGUGCAGGAGCAUCAUUGACUCCAUCUCCAGUCAUGGCAACCACUUCUCCAUCUUCUUUGAGCAACCUAACAAUCUCUUGCUUGUGCAUUGGUUCAGCUCUAGAGAACAAGAUCCCUCCACUUUGCCUCAGAUGAUUCUUCUGAUCUUUAACAUCCAUAAACUCUUUCCCAGUCAAGCUUCUCGAGGAGAUAUCUUCAUCUGCCUCAAACACUCCAAUCUCACGGCAGAUUGCUUCCGCGGUGCUCUUGUUGUCUCCAGUUAUGACCAUGACUCGGAUACCUGCUGUUCUGCAGUCUGCAAUGGCUUGACGCACCUCUUUCCUCGGAGGAUCCUUCAAAAAACAUUGAAAAAGUUAGAGCAUGAAUCAAUGACCAAAGAAGAAAUAAGAAGGAACUAAAACUCACCCUUAGACCAACAAAGCCAACAAAUGUUAGAUUGGACUCAAUAGAAGAAUAAUUGGAUGGGUUGAGGAGUUGCUGGUGAGCAGGAUGGUCUUCGCUGCCAUCAUAAGUAGCGAAGUCUGAUGGAACAUCAGAGUAGGCGAAUCCGAGACACCUUAAUGCACUCAUGGACAUAUCAUGUAGGCUUUGUAGAAUAAGGUCCCUUGAGUACUGGUCAAGCUCUUGAGUUGAACCAUCAAGUAACUGAAUAUGCGUACUCCUUUCCAAUACAUUCUCAACGGCACCCUACACACAAAAUUCAAAACCGGUCUCUUAGUAGCUGAAGAAAAGAGUGGACAAAGGAUUCUUUCAACUAAAGCACACGCCACAUAGAAUGAUAGAACAGACCUUGACCAGUAACAGUUUCGUUCCUGAGCUGGAAUCCACCAUAACUCCCAUUGAUUUCCUGUCUCGGUCGAACUCAAGAGUGGCAAUCCGUUGCUCUAGUUCACUCCAUAACCGACAACAACCUUCAGUAAUGUAAAUAAAAGGUUAUAUACAGGAGUUUCUUGUAUCUGAAAAAAGUGGAAAACAUGAGAAACAAAUAUAACCAAUUACACAUACCUAAGACAUUGCCAUCAGCCAAAGAUGAAGCUUUAUCAGCUCCUUCAGGGAAUCCCAUUUUCUCAACUAAAACCUGCUCAAAGAAAAUAAAUGCAGAUUAACACUUGACAGCCUAUGAAGCUUGAAAACAUAGAGCAGAAGAAGUAUACUUAGUAGACUGUUAUACCUUCAAAGCUGCCUCAGUAGGCAUGCCCCUAGCAACAAACUGAUUCUCAGAUUUCUCAACAUCAGCAUCAUUACAAAUAGCAGCAAUUUUGGCAAUCAUCUGAAGAUUUGUAUCCAUCCUACCCACAGGCCAAUCUUCAAUCUUCCCAUCUCGUGGAUCAAAAGAAGUCCCCUCAACAUUAAAAGACCGAAGAGUCCCAACUCUAGAACCCAUAGCAACAAGCUUCGAAACAGCCAUCUGAUUAGUCGUCAAAGUUCCAGUUUUAUCAGAGCAUAUCACAGUUGUGCAGCCAAGUGUCUCCACACUAGGCAACUUCCUAACCAGAGCGUUCUUCUGAGCCAUCUUCCGUGUCCCAAGAGCCAAACAUGUCGUAAUAACAGCUGGAAGACCUUCUGGAAUGGCAGCAACAGCUAACGCAACAGCAAUCUCGAAGUAGUACGUGCACUUCUCAAAUGAGAACUUAAAGUUUCUCGGCCAGCCAUCAACAUACUCCCAGGAGAGAAAGUAUUUAACGUUGAUGAGCCAAACCAACGCGCAGAUUAAACCAAUGAUCAUCGUCAGCGCCUCUCCGAACUCGUUGAGUUUCUUCUUCAGAGGAGUGUCUUCCUCGUGCUGCGCAGCUUCUUGAAUCUGCGAGUGCACCCUCCCAAUCUCGGUACUCAUACCAGUGUGAGUAACCAAACAAACACAGCUCCCGUUAACAACCGUCGUCCCUGCAAACACCAUACAUUUCUUCCCCUGAAUAUCAGCAUUCUCCUCCACAGGCUUUGUAGUCUUACUAACCGCCUCGCUCUCUCCCGUCAAAGAUCCCUGCUCGACUCUCAGCGUGGAGCUGAUCAGCCUCACCACACGCAUAUCCGCAGGGACCUUAUCACCCACCCUGAGCUCCACAACGUCCCCAGGAACAAGCUCCUUAGCAGGCAAGCUAGACAGCUUAACCCCGUCGCGCGUCACAGUCGCCUGCUGAGACUGAAUCUCCUUCAAAGCCUCCAAGGCCUUCUCAGCAUUAGUCUCUUGCCAGAUCCCAACAAUGGCAUUCACAAUCAAGAUCAAGAAGAUCACAAGCGGCUCAACAAAAGCAGUGAUCCCCAUCUCCCCGCCUUCAUCACCAUCCACAAAGGCCAACACAAACGAAACAACAGCAGCGGCCAAGAGAAUACGAACCAAAGUAUCAUUAAACUGCUCCAGAAUCAGCUUCAAAAGCGAUGUCCCCUCAGGCUUCUCUAACUCGUUCAAACCGUAGAUCUGAUGACGUGUCAACACCUCACUGCUACUUAACCCUCUCUCAACGCUAACACCGAAGUGCUCUUCGCAUUCUCUAACGUCUUUGCCCCAAGCGGGGAAAGUAUCCAACUUUAACGGUUCUGAGCCGUUAGAUUGCUUAUCUUCACCGCCUUUCCCCAUUAGAUCGGAUCAGACUUUGAAGGAUCGUAAGAGAUCGCGACGCUCACCAGAAUCGGAGAUCGUACGCUCCUCUCUCCAGAUACUUCUCUUAUUCUAUGGGGAAGAGAAUUGAAUAUUAAGUAUAUUCUUUUUCGAGUUUAAUGGCUUGUAAUGAGAGAGUAUAUAUCGCUUUCAAGUUGAACACGAUCUCCUUAAGUUUAUUUUGCAGUUAAGCCCUUGUAUUCUCUUCUCAUUCGUAAUGUCAUUGUUCUUUUUUACUUUACUUAAGGGGCUCAAAUUAUAAAUUAUGUAUUUGUUGGGGGUGUUAUGUUAAUAUGGAUAAGCUUUUCUUAGUGUAGUGUGUAGAGGUAUACGAUUUGUGAUGCGAAUAUUUUGCUUUUCAGGGAAUGGGUUAUGCCACGUCGUUUCGACACGUGGGGAGUUUUUAUUGGUUGAAGGAAAUAACAAGUUGCUUUUCUAAAGUAAUGUGAGAUUUUAUUUUUUUUUUGGGACAAAAUAAUGUGAGAAAAGUUGUUUUCCCUGAUUUGCUGAGUUGAACUUGAAUGAUAAAUUCUAUAAAUAAAAUAAAAUAAUUUUGCAAAUGUUUAACCAUUGGUAUUGAUUGUUGAAUAAAUUAAAGAAAUAUAUAAGCCAAUACAAAGUGAGUAUAAUGUCUCUGUUAUUUUGCAGAUGAUAUUUAUUCUAGUAUUACAAAAUAUACAGAUAGACUAUAAGUUCAUAGCAAGUGAGCUAGCUUUUCUUUCAGGAUUUAAAAUUUAAAAUUAUUUUGUUAUUAGUAUCAUAGUGUUUAGGACUAGGAGGAAGUGGUUUCAGUUUUUUAAAAAAAUUAUACUAUUGUUGAGCCUCUAAAGACUUUCUUAAUUGAUUGGGCUGAGAACCUAUCGUGAAUAAAAUUAUGGUCUAAGACAAAAUUUAAAAUAACACAUAUAUGAAAAAUUGACUCGAGUCUUCAACUAUGUAAAAUAAUUAUUUCAAGUUCAUGAAAACACCACACAGGAAAAAAAAGUGACAGUAUAAAUUAUACUAAAAAUUUGGAAUGAAUCUGCAUAGAAAAUUAUCAAAUUAUCAUACAAAACUAGUAGGAAUAAGUAGGCAAUAUGUUGAUAACUUGCUUCCAUUAUUUCACCGACCGUAUGCAAUCUAACGAACGAAGAUACUUCUCCAUUUUGAAUAGAUGUAAACCAGACCAUGUUUUUUUUUUUUUUUUAGAAUUAAACGUUUUAAUAUAUACAAGUCUUCUAGCAGGAGAGAUGUUACCAUUUUAAAAUUAAGAAUAUAUAUAAGACCCUAAAACUUAUUGGUCGUUAUAUAUAAUUGCUGUCAAACUCAAAACAACAAAAAAGUAGUUUGUAUACACUAUUGGAAAUAAUGUCUAGUAUUUUCUAUUCCAAGUUAGUAUUUUCUUGGAAAUCUGUUACUAACAUACUGCUAUAGUUAUGAUCUUAAACCAUAAUUUUGCGUAAUUGUUUAUUACUACACUAGAGAAGCUUUUCUCGUCAAACGAAGACAUCCUAAACCAUAAUCAAGAAAAAUAAAAAUAAACGACCGCUUACCAAUCACGUCUGAGUAUACUGUAUAUAUACAUACACAAGUUGAUUAAUAAAAGACCAGACGCCAAUAUGUCAAUAGAGAAACUACUACAAAUAUCUAAGUCUUCUUCCAUAUCUGUUCGUAUAUUUUCUCACAUUGGUAAAAUAGACGGUCGACACGACUCUAAUGGAUACCAGUUUUCUUCUCAUCGUCCUCUUAGUUCUCGUUUCUAUCUCUGUCACUUCCGGAUAUUCUCUUUCCACAAGAGAUGCUGUCUUAAAGUAAGAAGAAAGACCAACCUCAGAAUCCUAUUUUCACUUGUUUCACAUGUCUCAAACUACUUACAUAGUGUUAUGUUUUUUUUUCUGUUUAGAAAGUACGAUGAUGAAUCAUAUUCUAGGGCUUCGAGUGAGAAAGUACCGUCUAUGGUCGACGUUAAAGAUCUAAAAGCUCGAAAUCUUCAAGCUCUAGUCGUUGUGAAUAAAGCUUCUAGGGGCCGGAGUAAUAAAAGCUAGCUUUUCUACAUUAAAUCAAAGUUUAGUAAAAUAUUUAGUACGUUAACUAAAUUUGAUAUGAUAAUACAAAAAAAAUUGCAGGUUUUCUGAAGAGAAAACACAACAGUAAUAAAGUAGGAUCACUGGACGUUUUAACUUUUGUCGGAAUCAUAAUCUUAGCUGUUAUAGUUACCGGCGUGAUCAUCGCUUUUCUAUACAAUCUCUAUCAUGUGCUCAAAACAAAAAACACUCAAAGUGUUGGUGGACAAGGUAAGCUUAUUACAAUCUAUAUAGACUACUUAUUUGUUACAUAACGAAAUGCUAUUAAACUCUUUUUGAAUGCACGUUUAGGAGAAGUGGUAGCGGGCCAUGAAACGGACGAGAAGAUGGAAACAGUUACCAUGAGUCCUGAUGCAGGAAAACGUUCAAACGGUGAUACCAACGUUUGAUACCAAGCGUUUGAAACGUUUAUUCUUAAACUCGUUCGUUAGAUCUCUCAUCUCUAUAAUCUUUUUCUUUGUUGGAUUUUGUUGUAAGUUGGUAUAAUAUCUUAUAUAUUAUCAAAAUAAUAAGUGUCACAUAGAUAUAAAAAUGCUUCAAAAAUUAAUUUAAAAUACAUUAUGCACUGCCUAUAACGGCAGCCUAUUAUUGUAACGGCUACUCCCGUAUAUAUCCAUCUAUAUACAUUCUGAACACAAUCUAUCCCAUUAUGAUGAGGAUGAUAUGGGUUUUAAAUUUAAUUGUGCGGUUCUAUUCGAACGCAAACGUUGAAAACGUUUGCAAGUAACAAAUGUAAAAUAGGGACUUUAUAUGUCUUUUAUUUCAAUAAAAACUUAACAAAAAGAACAAGAACACAAGGAGAGACUAAAAACAACAAUUAAAGAUAAGAUGGUUCUUGUUCUCCUCUCUUCUGCUUCUUCACUUGGAAGGAGGGAAGAAAAUUGCAUCCGAAGUCCUCUUCGAGCGGAACAACUGCUCCACCUCUGGAUCAACCUUAAACGCAGCCUGUAAAACCUCUGGAGACAAAGCCUUCCACACAGAUGUCCUCCCAGCCAAGUGUGUGAAAAUUGGACUAUAAACACAAAAACAAACGUUUAGUUUAAUUCAAUUGAAAAAAAGAAAGGGUAAGGAAUCAUGUUCUUACUCAGGAGUAGUCACAAUGGAGAACCAAGACAUGCCCUCAGGAUCAGCAAUCUUUGAAACCACAAAGAACCUUGGAACAAUGAAGAGAGAACCAGCAGUGAUAUGAGUUUCAAGAACUCUUUUCCCAUCAGCACCAACCACUUGAACUCUUCCACUCCCACCAACAAUGUAAGUCACCUGAAGAGCCGAGUCACAAGAGAAACCAGGCGAACACAUGGAAUGUCCAUCAAUCUGAACAAGAUCAGCUCCAAACCCAACCUCCCCAACAAGAGGAAGGUUCUUGGUGUUCAAGACAACGACUCUCCCACCGUCCUUGAUGUCAACAUCAAGAGGAGCCUCCAAACAGUUAAUCACAAACCCAUCACGGUCCUCUACCUUGGGUUGUGGCAUCUUGAAAUCCUCACCGAGCUUCACAAUGCCUUUGCCUGUUUGAGAACCGACGAGUGUCUUCACUGUGGUCUCAUCUAAAUCCCAAGCUCUGCCUACGAACUCAGUGGAGAAACCGGUGAAGAUUCCGUUUGAGCCGGUGAGGUAGAAGUCGGUGAACUGUCCUGCUUUGUGUGCCUUGUGGGUUUCACCGAGGAAGAGGAUUUCAAGGUCAGCUUCCUCACUGUUGAACCACCAUGUGACCACACCGAAGGGGAGAGCAAUAGAGUCACCUUUCUUGAUGGCGAUCACCUUCUCCUCCUUCUCAGGGAGGACAAUUCCAGCCGUUCCAGAUCCUGAAACAUGAAUCACAAAUGUAAAUAACUAUCUUUCGAUAAAAUUUUGAUAUUGACCCCUCAAUUUUUCUUUAAAAAGAUAAUAUAUAUAAAUAGGUCUUAAUUUUUUUAAACUUUUACUAAUUAUUUAUGGCCAAAAUCUUAGACCUGGUCCAAUUUUUUUUUAAACUUUUAGUAAUUAUUAAAACUUUUACUAAUUAUUAAAACUUUUUAAAGCAUAAUGAACCACCGUUACAAAAAAAAACAGGUCCUACUUACAAACACACAAGUUAUUAGAUCAACCUAGGGUUAUGUUUUGGCAUACACUAUCACUAUGUAAUCUAUUUGACUUAUAUUACGGUUUAGGGAUCAUAAUUUCACUUGUAAAAUUUCUUCAAAAUGAAAUCAAUCAAACAUAUUAUACAAAACGGCAUGAUACACACAAAAAGUUGACAAGAUAGGACAAAAAGAGAUAGAAUCCUAACCUUGAAGAACAUAGGCAACCUUAGGGGAAUCGGAGUAACGAGGAACAGCGAAGCCAUACUGCUUAAGAGCAAGCUUUGCGGCUCCAAUGUUACCCUCUUUAAGCAUCGGCAACUCUUCGGGGCACCAUGCAGAGUAAGAUCCGCCAUCUCCUCCGUACACUUGCUUCGGCAACUUUGGUGUAAGAUCCAACUCCAUCGUUUCAACUUUUCUCUAAAAAACUCAAAGAUCGGUGACGGAAAGAGCAAUGAAAAGAUGUGGUGAAGAGUGUAUGUUUGAUAUGAGCAGUGAAUGAGAUGCGACACGUAUAUAUACAAGAGAGGAGGAGGGUCAAUGCGUUACGAGAGGCGGUAUGAUUUACUUUGUGAUAACUAUUGCAUUUAAUGUUUUAAUUCAAAGUUAAUCCAUUUCUUUAUAUCCACGAUCUUAUCAUUUAUUUUAUUUCCAUAUUUUGUAAAUUUUGAUAUUGACUCUCGCGAAUAAUGAUACUUUCACAGAUAUUUCAGAUUUGUCCAUCACGUUCUCAUUUUAUUUGAAUAAAUCUUACUGAAAAGUGCUGUAUUAUUGGAUGAACCGGAUCCUUAAUAUAUGGUAGAUUUCAAUCUUUGACCUUAUUUGUUUUCAAUUUGGUCAUCCUAAUAUUAUGUUUUCCUUUUUUUUAGAUCUUAGGAUAGGAUUAAGGGUGAAAUGAAGAAAUAUUAUCUUAACUUGUCGUUUGUUUAUUUUACAUAAUUUCUGAUUCUAUAAUUACUCCGAUUUUUUUCUAAGAAUGGGGAAUCUGCUGACUGGACUUUAAUUAUCUACGUUUCUUUACGGAUUUAUCCAAUAAUACAAUUGGUAACAGUCUGUUCAAACAAAAAGACAGUCUGUAAACACAACUUUGAAAUCUUUUUCUACUUAAUCCAAACGAAAAACGUGACGGAUUAGUUUAAACUUUAAUGAUAGAACACUGGAAGAUCACUUACUGGUAUCAAAAUCUUUUUAUCCAUUGAUUAUUGAUUAUACAAAUCUACAUAUUCCUCCUAACGAUUAGUUUUCCUUCUCUGGCAGAAAAAAUGUUCCAUGUAAACACAAAUAUAUUGGCCCAGCAGUACCAUUGUUUCUUAUUGCAGAAAACCAACUAUAAAACUAUAAGACCAUAUAAAAUAUGUACCGGCCCAGCAGUGUAUUCUUUAAUAACCAGAAUUCCAAUUAUAGGCCCAUAAGAAAAUAAAAUAUGUUUAAAAAUGUGGCUGCUGGGAUUCGAGCCCAGGUCUCCACGGCCACAACGUGGAAUUCUUACCACUAAACUACAGCCACAUGAGUGUCAACGUAAAUUACAUAACAAAACAAUUACAUUCCAGUUAUCACAAUUAUUCGUUCAUUGAUGAGAACAAGUUCAUGUAACGUUAAUUAUUAUCUCCAAAACUGUAUUAGUCCAUUGCUUAAAUUUUAUCUUUAGCUGGCAUAUAGAAGGUUUCUUGGUCUUAACGAAUUAACAAGUUCUAUCAUCUACAGUAUCUGACGUCUUAAACCGGAUCGUUUACGAAAUACAGUAAUGAAAGAUGUUGGUGGAUACUAGAUCAACUGGCCAUGUAAAAUGAUAAGUGUUCAAUAACAACACGUCAUUAAUAGAUUGUUAUGAUCAGAACAAGUGUACAUACGUAAGCCUGCCAAACUUUUGUUUACAUUGAUUAACAUUACAGACAAGCCUUCAUAUACUUGCCAAACGGUCUGCAUUUAAGUCAUUCUCAUUGAUAUGAAUAAGAAAGGUGCUAGACUUAGACUAAAACUGGAGACUUGAGAUAGUUGUUGUCCGAAUGAAACUUUAAAUAACUCGAGACAAGAGCAAUUUUAACCACUAUCCAACCAAAAGUUACCACAAAAUUCAAAAGAGGAAAAAAAAAAAACAAAGAGUAAUUGAUUCAGAAUAAAACAUAUCAAUAGAAGAAGCCGAGGACCUUGCCUCCGACAUUCUUCCUCCUGGCUUCUUCAUGGUCCAUAAUACCCGCGGAGGUAGUCAGAACGAUGUAACCAAACUGCACAUUUCAGUAAAUGAAAACCCAUUAGUAACUCGAGUUAAGUAAUUCUAUUUCCCACGCUAGACAAAAAAAGAGGACAAGAAGAACGAAUUACCUGUCGGGAAGGAAGCAAACGAGCAGUCCAACCUUCAAUCUCCUUGACACCAACAUCAAAACGUGGACUGAUAACGCCACACUUGUUCAACCUUCCGUUCAAUUCCACAACAAUCUUGCCGGAUCGAUGGUCAUCCACAUACUCAAACUCACCAAUGUAACCUGAGUGAUAUAACCAAACAACCUAAGUAACGAAACUCUCAAUAAUAUAUCUAUUAAUUAAAAUGGUGGUGAGGGAGAAGAAAAAAAACAAACCGUGCUUCUGCAUGACGAUAAGAAACUUGAUGAUGACUUUGGAGGAAGGCCUGAUCAUGACCUGCCUCUUGCCUCGUUUCUCAGCAUUGUACAUGCUCUUGAGCGCAUCGUUGAGCACACUGAUUCUCACCAUUUUUCCUUUUCCUCCUAAAGCUCAAAGCCUGGUAACAAAAUCACACAAAUGACAAAGGAAAUUGGAAGCUAAGACUAACUAAUUCGCUGUCAACAAGCUCAAUCGAUAAACUAAAGCAAAGAUCAAAUGAGCUUUCGCUCAUUUCUCUAUAUGAAGAACACGAGAGUGGGGGGGGGAGAGUGGUACCUUAGAUUUGGCAGCUCGAGAGGCAGGUCGUCGCUCAGUGACGGAGAAGAAAGCGAAGUGAGGAAGAAGAGAGAGGGAGUGCUAGGGUUUUCUUUUCGAUUUUUAUACUAAAGAAUAUUAACUAAAACGCUGCGUUUCUGAGCUUCCUUUAAGGCCCAAUGGGCUUAUUCAGUUGGAUCACUAGUAAUUUUACGGAUAUUGAAGAGAUUUAUGGGCUUGUUAUAAUUGUUUUGAACAGAGUCCAAUUUGAUCUCGCAAUUUCAUCUAAUUGGAGUUACUGAAAUGAACAUUUGAUCUUGCAAUUUCACGUAACUGGAGUUACUGAAAUGGAGGAAUUAAAGAUUUAGUUGUAAACUUUUAUCUAAAGUAAUCUCAUGUCACAUUCAGGACAUAAGCAUCAGAUUUAGGUGAACCAACACUAAACUAUAACUAGAUUUUGACCCGUGCCCCCGCACGGGUGUUGGAUUUAACUUGCGUUCAAUGUAAAUUUAUAAACCAUUAUUUUAUAAAAUGUCCUUUUAUAUUUUUAUGUUUUGUAAAAUAUAUUUAGAGUAGAAUAUAUUAUAUUAUAAUAUCGAUGUUUGAUAAUAAUUUUUUAUCUGUACGUAAUAUUAUAUUUGUAAUUUUAUAACUUGAUGCAAUUUGAUGUAAUUGUAAUAUUCAAAUAUUAACCUAUUGAUUUUUUUGUUUAUUUAUUUAAAAUGAUUUAAUUUUUUACAGUAGGUUUUUAUGAAUUAUUAUUAAUUUUAUGAUAUUUGUUUUUCUUGAAAAUUGUAUUGUAGCAAAUUAAUAUAUACUAUAUUUUACAGUUUGUGUUUUAAUUUUUGUAAAAAAGAAAUAAUAAUUCAUUGUAAUUAAUUUAAUUUUUUUGAUUUUAAGUGAAACGGCAGAUUUGUAAAUAAGAAAGAAAUGCAAUAGCUAAAUGUGCAAAUAAAAAAUAUAUUUAAUUUGCUAUCCGUAUUUCCAAACAAUUCUCAUUUAAUCUGCUAUCUAAGUUUCCAAACGAUAGAAUCUGUAAAUGAGAAAGAAAUACAGUGACUAAAUAUGUAAAUAAAAAAAUAUAUUUAAUCUGCUAUCCUUGUUUCCAAACAACUUUCAUUUAAUAUACUAUCUAAGUUUCCAAACAGUACUAAAAGGUACUUCAGUUUUAAUAAUAUAGAUGAAAGAGCUUUGGCAAAUCCACAAAAAAAAAACAUAUAAUCACUGUCAUUAUCUCUUCUAUACUCCAAAUAAAGUAAAUGCCAAACAAUGCAUCUCAAUUAUAAAUUGUUAAAAUAACUCUGAAAAUUGUUUAUAUCCAAUUAAAAACCACACAAGAUGAUUAUAUUUUAAUUGAAAAAACCAAAACAAAAUGUUUCUGAUGAGGUAGACACAAAACGUGGAAGCCUGAAAGUGCAAGGAGAAGAAGACCCGAGAAGGAAGGGCAAAAGAACAGAAGAGUUCAAAAGACAAAAUGUAAGGGGUAAGUUCGUAAUUAAUACUUCAUGUCUUAAUAAAAGAGAAGCAGUUAGUUAAACGUGCAAGAAGCAGCCUCUCCACACCCACAUCAUCAAAGACAAAGAGGACAUCCCAAAAAGCUUUCCUUUAAAUCUUAAAUCUUGGUCGGAAUGUAUCACCGUUUGCCGUCGCUAAUGGAGCCGUUUCUCCGGAGAGUCUCGGCGCGUUGGCCGGUCAUUGUUCAAGCUACUACGUGGACGGUGCUGUUAAUGUUCACUGUAGCAGUCGCGUCUUUCGCUCCGGAGUUGGCGUUUGUGUCUACGGUGUCGUCUUCUUGCGGCGGAGGUGAUGGGUUCGUGAAGAUUCCGAUGGAUUUUCCGGGGGAGAGUGUGUGUGUUCCGUCUCACAUGGUGAAGAGAUCGCGUUUCGAUUUGUUCGUGCCUUCUAUUUUCGCGGGGGUUAUGGUCACGGCGUCUGCAUGUUUGAUCCGAUCAUGUUUUGGGACAGAGAACGUGGACGAUGUAUGAAAAUUGUAAUGAAUACAUUUUACUUUUUUAUAAAAUAAUUUGCAAAGCUUUUACCAAAAAUAAAAUUUGCAAUGCAAAAACUAGAUAACCGUUUAUUUGUCCAAUUUGAGACAUUAUACGCUGAUUCUUUUAAGCUGAGUCGUAUGAUAUUUUGCAUUCUUGCAUCAUUAUCUCUGAAACCACUAAGGGUCUUUUAAAUUAUUUUUUCUGUCUGAUUAAAAAGAAAAAAAUUAAAAAAUAUACUAAUUGCAGAUCGCCACGUAUCGGUAGGGUCUGAAAACAGUGCAAGAAAUAGACUAAAGUCGGUCCUUAUUGGAUGUUUUUUGUGACCGAUUCUUACAGAUUCUUACGUUUCUCUAGGGUCUAUGCAAUAUUUUUUUCUCUAAAAAUCCCUUUAAAAACCUGCGAUAAUCCUGCCUUUAGAUAAGUGUGCUUUUUUUUUUUUUUUUUUUUUUUUUUUUUUAGAUAAGUGUGCUUUGGUUAAGACUUCCAACAAUUUGAAUGUGUUAGGUAUUCACAUUUUAAAUAAGAAAUACAGUAACAAAUCUUAAAUACUUUCAAAAUUUGUGCCAUGACACCUAAACUCACUCUUAAAUAAUUUGAAAUUUGAAAAUUCAUUUUUAAACAUGUUUUUUUUUUUUUCACUGGAAAUUUUAUUAAACAUGUUAGAUAACAAAGAUUCAAAACUAUAGGCUAAAAGCCCAUUAUAAUCAUAAACCCAAUUGAAUAUAUGCGAAAGCUAGCUCACGUGGCAGCAAAGAGCCUAGACACGAAGUUGCAUGCAGUCGCCCACGUGUUGAGCUCACCAUAAAGAGAGAUCUUACAAAUAUAGACGUCAGGUUUCAGGGUUGACCAUUGUGAUUGUAAAGGAUCGGAUUUUAGAUUGGAGAAUCAGAAGGGAUUGAAAAGAAUGGCGUCGAAUAUCAUGAGACCAGCGUUUGCUUAUACGGUUGUGUACGUGAAGGACGUGGCCAAAUCCGUAGAAUUUUACUCUAGAGCUUUUGGUCACAACGUCCGUCGUCUUGACGAGUCCCACAGGUUUGUACAUAUUUUGUAACUGUUAUAUUGUAUAACGAUAGAAAUGCAAAUGUUUGAUCGGAUCGUGUAUAUAUGUUAAAGAAUUGAAAACUCUAGGAUUUUGAGAUUCCACUGGUGUGAUAUUAUAAUCAAGUCCAUAUAUAGUUAGGAAAAAAAUUACUAAUAUCUAUCUUCUUGAGUUUGUAAUUAUGGUAUCAAUUUUCAAGCAUUUUGUCUUCCUUUUUUGCCACAAUUUAUAUUCUUUCUGAUCUGGCUUGUUGUGAUGAGGGAGAGAAACUUAUGCAUGUACAGGUGGGGAGAGCUAGAGAGCGGACAAACGACGAUAGCCUUCACACCGCGUCACCAGCAUGAGACCGACGACUUAACGGGGAAGGUACAGGCUACGCAUUCAGACCCUGAGAGAGCACCCAUCGAAGUCUGCUUCUGUUACCCGGAUGUUGAUGCCGCCUUCAAGGUAAACUCAUGAGUUGUACGCUGUCUGCACUUGCUUAUGUCAACCUAUUUGAUUUUUUUGUUUCUAAGAGUGAGAUGGUGCAUUGUGUAGAGGGCUGUGGAGAACGGUGCGGUGGCUGUCAGCGAGCCAGAGGACAAGGAAUGGGGACAGAAGGUUGGUUACGUGCGAGACAUUGACGGCAUCGUUGUCCGCAUUGGUAGCCACGUUAAAUGAGUACCAAUCAGAGAGUGGAUCACGGGCGGACGUACGUAGGUGUGUCAGGGGUUUACGUACCCCUACUGAAGUAACUCGAACAUAUUUGAUUAUAUGUUCUUAGUUUAGUAAAACGCCAGACCAAUAAUGUAUAGAGAGAUGUAUUUGUUUUUUGAAACCAAAAUCAAUAGUUUUCUCGUUUAAACAAAUAAGCGUUAGGCUCAGUAUCCGCUGAAAAAUAAGGAAUUUGUAAUCUCAGGGGGUAAGAUAUCAGAUCAUACUAUUAUAAUUUGAAUACCAUUUUCCUUGCUAGCUAAACAUUUGAAAAUUACCAUUAUGCAUUACUAAUGAUCAAAGAAUUUUCAUUUGUUUUGUGUUUUAACACAAAAGAAAGCGUAUAUAUGUUUGUUAAGUGAUCGGGGAAAUCCUGAACGAAAACAUAGAGACUAGUAUUGAGGCUCUUAGAGCAUGACCAAUGAAAUGGAUAUCUCAGUCUUAAGAACCAUAUAUAACACAAUAGUGUUAGGAAUUCCAAUUAGAUACUAGCAAUCCCUUAGAGCACCUCAAACGUGCAAGUGAUCUUAUUGAAUAUCUGAAAAAAAUAUUAAACAAAUACAAAACUUGAAAGAUAUAUAGAGAAACAGGUUCUCAAAAGAACCUGCAAAAUACCUUUUAGAAACCUAUUAGUUAAUUUUCAUUUUAAGUGGUAAUCAAAGGGCUAGAAGUGCUCGCUUCUAAAUUUUGAAAAGAAUAAAAAUUACUUAAUAAAUAUAUAUAUAAAAUUACUUGUCGUGGAGGGUGCAUUUCGUAUAAAUAGAAAGUUAUUUUUUUCUCUCACUUUGCGAAAGAAAUUGUAUAUAAAUUAGCCAACUGUUGAAUUUUGUGCUCUUAUUUUUAUUUGAUCAAAUGAACAAAAAAGUAUCUGAAAGGAAACUACAACUUAAAAUACACACGAACAAAAGAAAAAUGUCUAGAAGGAAAAUGGUGAAACAAAAAAAAUUGACUGACAACUAACUUACAAUUCAUGCGUUCGUUUUCAUGUUUAUUUUGUUGUUGCUUUAUAUGAUAGUCUUACUAAAACUUCAUACAUAAAAACAAUUGCGUCACCAUACACAAUCAUGUGUUGGAACUGGAAACAAUGAAACCCACCUUGUUUGAUAAGUAAAUCAUAAAAGUUUGAAUCGUACAAAUCACAACCAAAUAAAUGUCACUUAUAUCAUGAUGGAGGGAACUAAAACAAAAUAAAGUUAGACACUAUGAUUCUAGUAUAAUUUAUUCCAAGUUUACUACCUUCACUUAAGCCUUUACAACCUUUUAGCUCUAGUUCGAUUAUUUCCAUCUAGAAUGUACGUAUAUGUAUGUAUUCACGUAUGUAUGUGGACAUGUGAGGUAUAUAUAUAUGUGUGUAGCUUAAAUUACAGGUUCAAAAUAUUAAGGAGUAAGCUUUUUUUUUUGAACGUCAAGGAGUAAGCUUUUUACAGAGAAAAAGCUUAAGAGGAAAAAAGCCGAGGGCGACGGCGGUGCAAUUAAUUGACAAGGAAUCAGAUUCCCACACCACUAAUGUUCUUGCUUUUGUUUCCUGUCCUUAUCAUUUCUUCCACGUUUUAUUUCUACUAUUUCCAUUAUUAAUUGUCUAAAACAUUUAAAUUACAUUUACUAAACAAAAACACGUAAUUCAAACCUUUUAAAACCUAUGAAAUCACUAAUUAACCUAUGAAAUCACUAAUUCUUUCUUAAUUUAGCAUAGGAUAUUCAAGUUUGGUUUGAAGCGUUCGACUAAUUCUAGAGAGUGAGUUACCAUUGGCACAGGGUUCUCCGCAAACCAAAACCGCUUAAAUUGUUCACACCGCAGUGCUCUAACUUAAGGAUGUACCUAGUUAUAUGCCGCAGCCCUAGAGGCAAAUACCACUGCGGUAAUACCGCGUACAUGUUUGACAAAAAUAGUAUCCAGUAAACUGUGGUAUAAGACAAUCGUACGUUUAUGUGAAGAACUCUUUCUACAUGUUUAGCAAAAAUAAUUUAGCAAAAAAAAAUGUUUAGCAAAAGAGGAGAGACUUUUGAAUAAACUUUGCUACUUUGCACUAAGAUAACUUUAAAAAAUUUGCUAAAGGAUAAAUAUCAUUAAACUGAAAGUUAGAUUUACAAGUAUAGUAGAUCUAGAUUAUGUUACACCUUGCCAAAAAAAAAGAUUAAAAACGAGGUAGUAACAAAAUUGCAUGAAGAUGAGCAAAACAAAUUGGUCAACACACUUCCACUUAGCCAUAAGGUUGAGGAGAGCUUCCUCUUUCUCCUAGCUGUAAUAGUAUUUCGCAUUACCUUGUCCAUUUGCCUAUAGAUUGCAUCCGGUUACAGGACAAGGUGAUUGUGCUUGAGCGGCAUACGUGACUUGCAAAUUCGGUAGCAUUUAUAUCAAAAAGUCUCCAUAUAAGUGAAGGAACGUUCAGGACUACCCUUUAGUUUGAAUUAUAUGUUAAUUAUAAAUAUAUAAGUAUUCAUUUCUCUGGUGUACAAAAAAAGGUAAUAAUUUCUCAAUAAUUCCAUAUUCAUGAUGCGUACGACUGUAAGCAUAUAGUAUAUUAUAUAUGGAUAUAGAUGAAUUUGGUAUAAGUGAAACACAUUUUCCAAGGAAAAUCUGGAAAAGUAACUUAAUCUCAAAUGCGUAUUUAUCAACUUUAAAGGGCGAAAGAAGACGAAGAACGAUAAGAGUGUACAUGAUGGUUUGGUAUAUGAAAAGGUCUGCGUGAUGGAUUCAUGCAUGAACGUCCUAAUAUUUUUUUCUUUUCUUUUUAGCUUAUUGAGAAAACAUAUUAAAAGAUUAUUCGCGGUGGAGAGUUUUGGCCCAUUCGAAGCAGUGUGUUAUAAUAAUGUUGCAAGUAGGAUAUUAUUGGCGGUCCCUUUCUGAAAAAGAGGUUUCGCAAUAUAUAAACGAGAUGAGUCAUGACGUCAAAAAACCAAACGAGUGAUCAAUGAAGAGAUAAGAGAAAGAUCAAAAGGAGAAAAAGAACAAGAGUAGAGAAAAUGUAGAGACAAACUGCAAAAUGUAAAGUUCUUUUAACAAGUAGUACGUUUUGUUACAUAAUAUUUUGGCCCAAUAUAUAAAAGUUGUAGUCGCAAACGAGCGACUAUUUUCACUUCAAAACAAAAUUUCAUUAUCUACUAGAAGACCAGUGACGUUGAAUUUUCUUCUAGUACGUACUUUAGGUCUAAUAAAAUGUAGAUAAGAAAAAUCGUAAAAUAUAUGAAUCUUCAUCAUUUCAUUAAAUUAAGGUUUGAUUAAGUAAGCAAACUUCAAUUUAUAUGUCAAGAAUUUGAUUAAAUCAAUUUAAAUGUUCUUGGAGGUUAAGUACACCAGAACCAGUUUAGUUUACCCAUCUUCUUAAGCAUAACUUGCCUUGUGAUCACCGGUCACCACCACCACUCACCGAUAUCUCUUGGGUGAAGACCGUUUGGCUGAAAUGUGGAACUCCUUCUCUAUUCAUAUGUAGUCUCUACAUUGAAUACAAAGUUUGUAAAUACAUAUAUUAACACCUGUUAUUUGCCUGAUUAGUGUUUACACUCUUUCGAUAUUAGAUGCAAUAAAAAGAAGAAGAAAAAUAAUUACUCCACACAGUACGUAUAAUAGACAAGAUCCCAACCAAAAUGUAAUGGAGAGUGAUGAUGAUAUGCUUUAAUAUGGCAUAUGGGUAUGACAUCUUAAUUAUUAUGAUGUCAUCUAUAUAUAUAUAUAUAUAUUGUUCUUGAUUAAUCGUACCCAUACACUUAAAAUCACUCAUAAAGACAAAAGUAAAGUCAUAAGUUGCCACUAAUUUAUUUCAUGCAUUUAAGAAAAAAAUCUUUCUGAAAAUAACCUAUAACAAACAAUUUAGUUCCAAAUACAUUAUAACUUUGGAAAUUUUCUAAGAAACCAUACAUUUUAGGUUUGCAAAGGGUUAAUAUAUCAUUUAAGGUUAAUUUCUAAACUUGUAAGAACAUUCGUAAAACUUUUAAAAAUAUUUGACGUCAGACAUUGCGGUUCGAAAUAUCAUAUGGUUUGCAUAAACAACAAUCGUCCUUUCACUAACACAUUAUUUGGAAGAAAGCAUAUGUAAUAUAAGUUGAAUUUUAAAAGAAAGCAUAAAGAACAGACAGUCAAAGAACGAACAUGUGUAUUAUUAUAUUCCUCCCUAGCUACCUCGUGUAACUAUUUGAUGAGAGCAAAAACAUGCUUUUAAUAGAUGUAUAUUUUUUUGUUGAAAUAGAUGUACAUAUAACUACUUUUAUAGAUAACCUUUCCUGUUUAUAAUUGUUAAUAGCUAUACGUUUUGUUUCAUGUUCUAUUGGUUGAUUUGGUUAAUUUCAGGAAAAAUGCAUUUAGUACCAAAUUCCCUAAUCCAAGUUUAAAAUGUCAUCUGACCAAUGUAAAAACAAAUAGCGAGUUUAGUACUGAUUAUGUCUUAACUUAGCGAAUUUCCUAAUCUAAUUUCGGGAAAAAUGCAUCUAACCAUGAACAACGAGUUUUCGUCAUGUCUCAAAUAUUUUACCACAAAAUUAUCAUUUCUUGGAUAAAAUAAAAAGUUAUACUAAACAUAUAACAAAAAAUUAACUUUAUUUUCAGUUAGAUAAUAGACUCAAAAAAUUUAUUUUAAACUUGAAAGGAAUUUUUGCACAAAUUUAUAAAUUUACUGCACAUUUGAUUAGUAAUAUAAUAAAUAUAAUAUCGUCUUCCAAGUAAUAAUCUAUAAUCCCACUAUAAUAAUAAAAAAAAAUAACUAAUAGGUAUCAGCAUGUAAAUUCUAGAUUUUUCUCUAAGGAAAUAGCUUGAUAGUCUCUUUAUACAAUAUUUUCAUGCAAUUUGUUCCCCUAUAUAUGUAUUACUCCAUAGACGUCUCUGAGAGGAACCUUAUAGGUGAAGAAAUCUCCCCAACUCAAACCCUAAAAAGGGAAUGACAAAUAAAAAAAAUCACAUAGAUGGUUAUAGACGCGUAUACACUACAUGAGGAAAUGUCUAGAAAUCAUAAAAGGAACCAAAACUCCUUUUCUUUUUCUCGUUAACAAAGCAUUUUCUCACCUUUAAUUUGUCUUUGUUCUCCUUCUCUCUUCUCACUUUCCUUACUGAUUUUGUGCUCUCUUCGCAUUUCUCUUUGGUAGUCUUGCUUCAUCUCCUUAGUUUUGCCCUUUUUCUUUGAUUCUCCCCACCAAGUUUUUCCUUUGGAGUUUUUUCCUAAAGAUCCAUUAAACUUUAUUAAAGAAGAAAGUAGAAAGAAAUAAAAAGGGCAUAGAAGAGCAAUGGUUUUCUCAUCCAAUUGGUCACAGGUUUCACCUCUUUGUCUUCCAUUAAUUCUAAAUGUUCUCUCUGUCUUUCUCUCUCUCUCUCUUUCUUUAGAUGUUUUGAUUCGUUUAGUUCAUAGUUUUGAUUCAUUUCCAAAAGAUAUUCCUAUUCUCAUCUGCUUUUUUUCUAUCUAUAAAAUCCUAACAUCUAUUCGUGUAAUGUUUAUUAAACAAAAAUUACACCAGUCUGGAAUAUCUGAUUUCUUGUUUUUUUAAAUUAAUUCUGAUUUUGAUUAUUUUUUUCAGCCUACGAAUCCGAAUCAGCUUCAACUUAACGAAAAUGGAAGUUUAGUGAAUGGCCACGGACUACUUUCUCACCAACUUCCACCUUUCCCACCAAACCCUAACCCUAACCACCACCAUGCCGCUGCCUCCAGUGGUCUUCCGGCGAGGCUUGGUGGAUUCAUGGCGGAGAGAGCGAACCAAACCAAAGCUCCUCGGCCUGAGGGAGCCCUAAAGUGUCCUCGAUGCAACUCCAUCAACACUAAGUUCUGUUACAACAACAACUACAACCCCACUCAGCCUCGCCACUACUGUAAGGGAUGCCGCCGCUACUGGACACAUGGCGGCAAAUUGAGGGACGUCCCCGAAGGUGGCCGCCGCCGGAGAAAUAGCAAAAAGAAUAAAAAUGGUAAUGCAAAAUCUUCUUCCACGGUCAACGCUCCGAGUUCUAGCUCAGGACAGCUAAGGACAAACCAUCAGUUCCCGUUUUUACCAACUCUUCAAAAUCUCACUCAGCUUGGAGGUAUCGGUUUGAACUUAGCUGCUGCUAAUGGCAACAACCAAGCUCACCACAUCGGUCCAAGUUUGAUGAAUGAUUUAGGGUUUCUUCAUGUCGGAAAUGAACGAAACAGUCAUGACAACAACAACAGUGAAAACAACCUAAUGGGGCCUGGUGGAUUCCCUCUCUUCGAUCCAACGUCAGGACCAUACGGUUUCCAAAACGAGGGAAAUAUCGGAAACGACGUCGGGUUAUCUUUUCCCUCUACUUCCAUGGUUGAUUCCAGUAUUUACCAAACAGGUCCGGUGAAGAUGGAAGAACAACCCAAUCUGGUUAAUUUGUCUAGACCGGUCUCCGGUUUGACACAUCCGGUGAAUCAAACAAACCAGUACUAUUGGAACAAUUCGGAUUUCUCGGGUCCUUCUUCUAACGAUCAUCACCAACUCUUGUGAGAAUAUUAGAUCGUCAAUAAAUAUUACGACGCGGGGAGAUUGAUUUACAUGACCACGAAUGGUCAUAUGAUCAAAUGCAUGCAAACUAAAAGGUAUCUAAUCAGGUGUGGUAUACAACUUAAGAUCGUACGUAUAUAUAAUCAGGUGUGUCAUAUAUAUAUAAACUUUGUAGAGUGUGGUUUUAUGGUUGAAUUGAUUCUGAAGUUAUUAGCUUUGUCUCUCAACAAAUUCGUGUCGUGUGUGUAACAGUCCAGUUUAUAUACCUAUUAAUCUCAUGGAAUAUAUAAUGAUUUUCAGUUAUUUCUAACUUAUUCCAUUUAUGGGUAUAGAUUUUUGCCUGAUCCCAUAAUGAACAUUACUGAUGAUUUAUCAUUUAUUGAUUGCUAAAGAGAAUCCAAUCUUAUAUUACUUUUGUUCCUGAAUAUAAGAUGUUUAGGAAAAACACACAUAUUAAGAAAAUUGUUUUUUUUUCUAGAAAAUAUCAUUAAAACUAUAAAAUAAUUGUAUUCAACCAAUUACAAAAUAAAUUAUUAAAUUUGAUUGGUUACACAGUUUUUAAUAAAGUAAAAAUUACCUAGAAAAUUAAAAACAUCUUAUAUAUUGGAACAUCAAAUUUUUUUUGAAACAUCCUAUAUUUAGGAAUAUGAGUAAUAUAUAUAAAAGUUAAGGAUAAUUCAUAAAGUCAAAAAGGGUUUGCAGACAAAGGAAUUUGAUCAUACAAAUCCGUGUCUCUCUUUGGAUGCUACGUUGUAAAACACUUAAACAUACUUUUUUUUUUCUCAUAUUUCUAGGAGCUUCUUUUCUUUUACAGUCUUCUUGUACGAAUCUGUGUGUCAGUCUGUUUUAUGUGGGUGCAUGAUCCUCCAUAAAAUAUUCUUUAACUAAAUAUAAACACUACAAAUGAAGAAUAAAGCUUUUGCAUGGGUUAAAAAGCAUACUUACCUGUAGUUUUCUUAAUACUGUAUAGCGAAUAGCGUAAUAGGUAGAUAUGAACGUUUAUAACAUACGACAGCUAAAACGGUAAAACCAACAUAUUUUAUAUUUGAAGAAAUGUAAAAGGAUGUCUAGGUUUUAUAUUUGAAAUGCAUUUUAAUUGACUACUUACAAUCAAUUGGUUUUGGUCAGUGUAGUAUACUAGAGUCUAAUGUGACGACUUUGGCGACUAUGGGUAUUGCAUUUUAAGAAAAAGUACCAGGAACUUUAUUAUACCCACUGUUAAUUUCGGAUGAUAGAAGCUAUAAAAACGAUAGGAAAAGAAAGUUGGAAUUAUAUCAUGGAGAAUACGUUCAACAAAGAUUGACACGGAAAACAAUGCGUGUAGAGAUUUGUGUGUCCUGAACUGGACCCCAAACUUUUAUGAUAGUCCCACGUUUUGAGAGUACGGUUAAAAUCAUUUGGAUAUGCUUUUUGACUCUACUCUUUUUUUUUCUGAUGCAUGUCUUACCAUAAUUAAAUUACGCGUUAAAUAUGGAGUAUAUACUGCCUAUGAUACAAGAAUCAGUAUCAGUGUGAAACUGGUGAGUGAUACUGAUAAAUAAACAAAACCAACAUUAGUGAGUGAUACUGAUAAAUAAAACCAACAUACUAAAAUCAAAAAAGGGUUACGAUGGUUAAAGCAUUCGUGGUAACAUUUCUUGUAAAUGAUUCUUAUGAUACUAGAUUACGUGAAUGAUUCGAAGUUGCGAAGUAACUCGACUGUCUGUCCUUUGGUCUAGGUCGUAAGGAUUUUAUCCAAAUCACCCAUGCAUUGUGUUUACUGCUAUGCCUAUUUAGGUAGAUAAAUGAAAUAUUUAUUUAAAAAUAAAAGAUUACGUAACUUCCCCUUUCGUUCGAUAAUCGAACUCCUCUUCUGAAAUUACAAUGGUUCAGAUCAGCAGUUCUAGCUAGCGUUGCUUUCAAUAUCAAAUUUGAGCCUUAUCAUCAGCAUAUAUAUCGCAUGCCCAUGUACGUAUAUAUUACUCAUGCAUGAGUAUCUUUUUAGUGCGUAAGUAACAAUCAAUAAAUCGAUCAUGACAUGGAGAAACAAGAGACAAAUUAGCUACCUUCUGUCGUGAGGACAUGUGGAAAGGAUUCACCAAAUCAGAACACAAAAGUCAAUUUACCAAAAAAAAAAAAAACACAAAAGUCAAUUCAUUUCAUGGGUUUAGAAAUUCGUCUUAUGAGUUAUGAGGCCGUAAUAUGGGCCAGGCCCAUUACGUUAAACCCUUCUCCGCUUCGUUCUCCCAUUUCUUUCACUGACGACCACCACGGCGGGAGAUCUUCCUCUGUCUCCUCGCUUCUUAUCUUACCGUAACAACCUCAUACCUCGCCGGAGAUCCUACCAGAAACAACUCGAUGUGGCUGAACCGGACAGCUCCCAUCCGGUAUCUGAGAUCCUUCCGAAAAACUCAAAACGCGCCAUGGAUGAGCUACACUGUUGCGUUCUACUCAGAUUCCGCGGAGGAGGAAGAAAAGGUCGCGCCUUUGCAGGUGGGUUUCAUCAUCUAUUCAAUUGACUUCCUUCCUCGAGCAAAAAAAAAAAAGAAGCUCUUUUAUAAUUUGCUUGAGUUCCUUCCCUUUCCUGAUAUAUCAGGAGACUAGAAUGAGAGAUAGGUUUACUCUAUACGCACGUGGCGGUGAAGGUGGCAGUGGUUGUUCCAGCGCCCGCAAGACCCGUACCGAUCGCUACGGCAAACCAGAUGGUACUUUGAUAUUCUUACAUAAACUCUAUAUAAAUGAUUAUAAAUUGGGAAUUGGUAUGUAGAUUUUGUAUAAUUAGAAAUUUAGAAUUGGUAUGUGGAUGUAUAGGAAGCGGCAAACAUUAGUGAUCAAUGUUUAAAAUAUCGUUACGGGGUAGUUAGACGCUUUGUAUAAAUUAAUUGAUUAUAAAUUAUUGAUUAGACGGGCGUUUAGAUCGAUUUUUUUUAGCUUGUUUGACCGAUUUUAAGAAAAUAAUCGUCCUACAAAUGUUUUGUUACGGUCCGAUUUGCCGACUAGACGGAUGCCUAGGCGCGUCUAGACCGUUUUUAGAAUAGUGUGAGUGAUUGAGUAACGAAGAAUGUUGAUGAAGUUAAUGUAAUUGAACUUAGUUCAGGUGGGAAUGGUGGGAGAGGAGGUGAUGUGAUUUUAGAAUGCACACAUGCAGUUUGGGACUUCAGCGGUUUACAACCUCAUGUUGUAAGUUUAUUACGCAUCUCUUUCUUUUUUUGCGUUUUUUUUUUCCGGGAAUCUAUCUCAUGUCUUAACUGAUUAUAUAUAUAUGCAUUUUGCAGAAAGGUGGGAAGGCUGGGCAUGGAACUUCCAAGAACAGGAUUGGAAACAGAGGAGAAGACAAGGUCCUUCAAGUCCCCAUUGGGACAGUGAUUCAUCUUCAAGAAGGUGAGAUUCCGUCUCAGGUUCAAGCUGGCUCUCCCACAAGUCUGGAUCCAUGGGACCUUCCUGGCACACUGGUUGAUGAUCCUGAACCAGAGGAGACCUCCGACGUUAAUCAAGAUUCUUCUGUUCAAGUUGAAGCUGAGGACGAUAUUGUAGUAGACACGCCAAUGGAAGAUGAUUUUCAAGACGAUGUUGAUCAAGUAAAGUAUAACGUUGCGGAGCUGACAGAACAAGGCCAGAGAAUACUCAUCGCACGUGGUGGCGAAGGCGGUUUGGGCAGCGUUUGCGCUACACGUUACUUAAGAGGCACCAAGUUCGCUAAAACAGCCCCUAUAAGGACAAUGGAGGACGAUUCCGAUGAUGGAGAUGAUAAUGGUCAACGCUCGAGUAUUAAAUGUGGCUCUCUUGGUACAGAAGCUGUCCUGAUACUAGAACUGAAGAGCAUCGCUGACGUUGGUCUCGUCGGGAUGCCAAACGCUGGUAAAAGCACUCUCCUCGGCGCGCUCUCCCGCGCUAAACCGCGUGUAGGCCACUACGCGUUCACGACGCUCCGUCCCAACCUAGGCAACGUCAGCUACGACGACUUCUCAAUGACGGUAGCCGACAUCCCAGGGCUUAUCAAAGGAGCUCAUCAGAACCGAGGGCUAGGCCACAACUUUCUCCGCCAUAUAGAAAGGACCAAAGUGUUGGCCUACGUUGUGGACUUGGCGUCGGGGCUAGAUGGGAACAGAGGAGUGGCGCCGUGGCAGCAGCUGAGAGAUUUGGUGAUGGAGCUCGAGUUUCAUGAGGAAGGGCUGUCUGAUAGGUCGUCUUUGAUCGUGGCGAACAAGAUAGAUGAGGAAGGGGCGGAGGAGAGGUUGGAGGAGCUUGAGAGGAGAGUGAAAGGUGUGAGGAUUUUUCCGGUUUGUGCGGUUCUUGAAGAAGGUGUGGCUGAGCUUAAAGAUGGUUUGAAAAUGCUUGUAAACGGUGGUGGUGAGGGGUCAGAGUGAUUGAAAUUGGAGAAUAUAUGUGUUGACUAGUUUAGUUUUUUGUAUCUCUUUGAGUUAUUUCAGUAGAUAGACCAACUGAAAAUUUCAUGUUAUAGUGGCUAUACUGAUGUGUUGUGUGAUGAAACAUUUUCACGGUUUCUAUUGUGAUCUUUUUAAAUUCUUGAUCGUUUUAUGUUAUAGUGGCUUAGGUUGCUAAUUAAAGAACGUAGUCGUUGCAUUAGGUUGUUUCUUACUUGUAACAUAAGUUUCUCGGAGGCACAAGAUAUCAUUAGGGGGUUUAGUACUACGUGGAAGAAAGGUAUACACAUAUCUAAUGUCUUUAUCACAAGGAACAACUUGUUAGAAACACUCCAAUUAGAUUAAUAGUUUUGACAAAAGAGAGUUAAGUUAGAUAAUGAAUAAUAGACGUGCAGGUUGAAUGAAUUUAUCAUAAUAUACAUUAUCCUGAUUUAAUAUCUGCAAUUAAUCGCACAAUCUAAUGUCUUUAUCACAAGGAACAACUUGUUAGAAACACUCCAAUUAGAUUAAUAGUUUUGACAAAAGAGAGUUAAGUUAGAUAAUGAAUAAUAGAUUAAUUAACAGUUUUGACAAAAGAGAGUUAAGUUAGAUAAUGAAUAAUAGACGUGCAGGUUGAAUGAAUUUAUCAUAAUAUACGUUAUAAAUAUUCAUAUUAUGUCAAAAAUGAAAGUGUACAUUUUCUAAAGAGGUAUAGUAAGCAGAUGAAACAGGCACGUUUCAUGCCUCUUAUUUUGGUUGGCUGUCGUAACUCCUUGUUGCGUGUACGACUUUUUCGUAUUCCUUAUCAAUUUGACGUGCUCCAUCAUUUUUUGAAACUCAAAUAAAACAUUAGACUAUUUUCUUGCAACUGGUAGAGGAAAUUUUCUAAAAAAUAGUGGACAAGUUGGUUGUGGAAAACUAUUUAACAGUUUUUAUAUACGAUAUUUUUAAUAUAAGAUAUGUUUAUUAUUUCUCUCAAUAAUAUUUUAAGGUUCUAAUUAAAAUAAAUAGAAGAAUCACUACGAAAUGCUCUAUAUGAUAGAUAACUUAUUCUAAAAGCAUUUGAUUUUAUCCAUACACGGAAUGAAACGUGUACGGUGUAUACAACACCGACUCUUUCCCAUCUCUUAUAAAUAGGUGGUCAUUCCCUUUGUUCAAUUCACAAGACAUAAAGCAAUCAAAAGAAGAAGAAACAAAAACAAAGUACAACUUUAAAUCAAAGAGAAGAGAAGCAAUGGCAGGUUCUAACUGUGGAUGUGGUUCCGGUUGCAAAUGCGGUGACUCUUGCAGGUAAACUCUAGAUCUUAUAUCUUGCCUUUACAUGCAUAUAUAUCAGUGCCGUGCGAAGGUUUUCGGAGGCCCGAGGCGAGUUCAAAAAUAUAUUUUACAUGAUAUAUUUUUAAUAAUAUAUAUAUAUAUAUAUAUAUAUAUAUAUAUAUAUAUAUAACACUCAAAAGUUUUGAAUUAUUACAUAAACGUUUUCUAAAUUUUCUUCACCAAAAUUUUAUAAAAUAAAAUUUUUAAAUCAUGAACAAAAAAUAUGAAUUUGUAAUAUAAAUACAAAGAUAUUAAUUUUUGAUUGAAAUGUUGGUAGUUGUCAAAAAUGUAAAUCUUAGCAUUUAAAUUAACUAUAAUAAAUAAUAUAUUGAAAAUAUUAUAUUUUCUUUAUCAAAUUCUCAUAAAUAUAUAAAAUAAACCUAACUCAUAGCAUAUAAAAGAAAAGACCAAUGUGAUCAAAUAUUUACAGUUUUUUAGAAGUAGAAUCUUUAUAGUUUUAUUUAAAAUAUAGCAAAAAUGAUUACCAACCUAGUUACUUUAAACAGAAGUCCAAUUUAAAUUCAAAUAAAAAUAAAAAUCUAACUAAUAGAAUAUGUUAACUACCAUGUAAAAAUAAUUUGGGGCCCUAAAAUUUUUACAAAAUUUGGGGGCCUUAGGCGAAUGCCUUUUUCAAAAGCCUCUAAGCACGGCUCUGAUAUAUAUUAUAAACCCUAGAUUCUAUAUUCUUUUACCUUUACAUGCAUAUAUAUACGCAUGUGGUUAAGUGGUUUCAUCAUGUUAUCAAAAUCCCAAAACCUUUUUAUUUGUGUGUGUGGUGAAGUUGCGAGAAGAACUACAACACGGAGUGCGACAACUGCAGCUGCGGAUCAAACUGUAGCUGUGGGGACAGCUGCAGCUGUUAAUGUGGUGUAAAUCACAUGUAUGCAGGAAAACUGGUGGAAAAUGUGUUUGAUGUUAAGAGAGAUGUGUGUGUGUUUGAAUAAAGAUUUGGCAUAAUAUGUUGCGUAAUAACUCUCUUAACCUUGACUUUUUCCUGCUUCUAUGUGUUGAUUGUGUGAUUGUGUAAUGUUUUCAUUUGUAACUUAAAGAAAACCAAAAAAAUAUAUAUAUAUAUUGACUUUUGUGAUUAUAAAGAUUUAUCUAUUCUCCUCUCUCCAUAUAGGGUUAAUCAGCUAAAUGACUAUGAUCCAUGAACAAUUAUUUAUUUAGUAUAUAACAAAAAGGGUAAAUCUGGUUGAUUAGUAUGUGAUGAGUAAUCCGAAUAAACUAGCUUAAGCUCAUCUGAAAUCAAACAAAAUAAAGAAAAAAAAAACAAAUACUAGUAAUUAAAUUAAGUAACCAAUCAGUAAUCAGAAACAAAUAUUAGCAUAAUUGUAAAAAAAAUAUUAUCUUAUUACAAAUUAGCAGAGUUAUUAAUUUCAUCGGAGUCAAUAACAGAAAAACCAAUAUAAAUAGGAAAUGAGGAUACAAAAUACAAGUCCACUAUGUACUUAUUGGGCUUUACACAUUCUGGACCAUCAACAAGCUUUAUAGAUGUUCACGUGCCAGUAAGGUCCCAGAAGAAAGAAACAAUGCGAUCUAUUAUUGCGUUGGUAAGGCAACGAGAUUGUUUCGUUCAGGCAAUACGUCGAACACCUGGUGUGUCAUAUUCACCUGCGUCGGAUCAUCAGCCUAACUUCAAAGCCUCGAACUUUCUCACUACCCUAAUCUCUUCGACGAAAUCUAGUGAAUCAGACGGAGACGAAGAAGAGCCCAACAAGUGUUUGUCUCUGAGAAUCGAGAAGCUACCGAAAGGAGUAACUGUUGGGUCUGCUUUGCAGAGCUGGAUGGGCGAUGGGUUUCCAGUUCAUGGUGGAGAUGUUUAUCAUGCUAUUAAUCGAUUGAGAAAGCUCGGUAGAAACAAACGUGCCCUUGAGGUAUGAAUUCAGUUACUUGCUACGCUCUUGUCUCUAUGUUUUUGUGUUCCAACUUAACUCACUCGUUGUCAAGUUAAGACAGAACUCAGAUUGAUGUGUCUGAAUAGUUUUGGAUAUGGAACGUAAAGACUUUUUAAUGUUGCCCUCUUUAACUUGGCUCCUUCACUCGUCGUGAAGUUAGGACAGAACUCAGUUUGAUGUGUCUGAAUUGUUUUGGAGAGGGAACUUAAGACGUUUUAAUGGUCCCCUCUAUAUGUUUUUAUGUUCGAACUCAACUUGUCUCCUUCACUCGUCGUGAAGUUAGGACAGAACUUAGUUUGAUGUGUCUGAAUUGUUUUGAGAUAGAACUUAAGAUGUUUUAAUGUUGCCUUUGUUUUUAUAGAGAUACUCUUUGAAUGUGAAAGCUCUAACGUUUUGGUAUAUGUAUGUGGUUUUAGUUAAUGGAGUGGAUCAUCAGAGAAAGACCAUACCGUCCCGGGGAGCUAGAAUACUCCUACUUACUCGAAUUCACAGUCAAGAUCCACGGCAUCUCGCAAGGCGAAACGCUCUUCACACGCGUCCCUCAAGAGUUUCAGAACGAGCUUCUCUACAACAACCUCGUCAUCGCUUGCCUAGACCAAGGCGUCAUGAGACUCGCCCUGGGAUACAUGAAGAAGAUGAGAGAGCUCGGUCACCGCACAUCACAUCUGGUCUACAACCGUCUUAUAAUCCGCAACUCGGCUCCGGGAAGAAGAAAACUCAUCGCCAAAGACCUUGCGCUGAUGAAAGCAGACAAGGCGGUUCCUCAUGUCUCGACGUAUCAUAUCUUGAUGAAGCUUGAGGCUAACGAACAUAAUGUUGAUGGUGUGCUAAAGGCUUUUGAGGGUAUGAAGAAAGCUGGCGUCGAGGCGAACGAGGUUUCGUAUUGUAUAUUGGCGAUGGCGCAUGCUGUUGCGAGGUUGUAUACGGUCGCUGAGGCCUAUACGGAGGAGAUUGAGAGGACUAUCACUGGGGAUAACUGGUCGACGUUAGAUGUGUUGAUGAUUCUGUACGGACGUUUGGGUAAAGAAAAGGAGGUGGAGAGAGCGUGGAAUGUUGUUAAAGGGUUUCAUCACGUUAGGUCAAAGAGUUACUUGCUAGCCACGGAAGCGUUUGGACGAGUAGGGAACUUGGAGAGAGCUGAAGAGGUUUGGUUAGAGAUGAAGAGCGUAAGAGGAGUUAAAGAAACAGAGCAGUUCAACUCUCUGAUGUCUGUAUACUGCAAACGCGGUUUGAUAGAGAAGGCAAUAAGUGUGUUCCGAGAGAUGACUGGAGAUGGGUGUAAGCCUAACUCGAUAACGUAUAGGCAUCUUGCUCUAGGGUGUGCUAAGGCCAAUUUGAUGAAGGAAGCUAUCAAGAACAUUGAGAUGGGUUCGAGUUUAAAGACGAGUAAGAGUGUGAGAAGCUCGACGCCGUGGCUGGAGACGACGCUAGCGAUCGUCGAGUGUUUUGCGGAGAAGGGUGAUGUGGAGAACUCGGAGAAACUGUUUGAAGAGCUGAAUAGUGCUAAGUAUAAUAGGUAUGCGUUUGUGUAUAACGCUCUGUUCAAGGCUUAUGUUAAAGGUAGGGUGUAUGAUCCUAAUCUGUUCAAGAGGAUGGUUCUUGGUGGAGCUAGACCUGAUGCUGAGUCUUACAGCUUGUUAAAACUUGUUGAACAAUAUAAACCCUGAUUCAUUCAAAGGCUGCUGCAUUUUUUGGGUAAAUCUUACAAAGUCUCUUAAGCUAAAGUUGAGUUAAGGUUAUAGGAUAAACAUAACAGCUUUGCAAGUACAUCACGGGCUCAAAGUCAAAGGGAGCUAGCCGUUCAAGUUGAUGGAGCCGUGGGAAGAAGCAGGGAAUCUAGCUCUGGCCUCUGGGCAGACAUGCUAUCAAGUGGACCAUUGGACCUUUAUCUCUUUUUGGGUCCUACCAGAGGGUCAAACAUGUAAAGGUCAAACCGUCGAAAUAUUCGUUCACACGGUCACAUGAUCCAAUGAGACAAAGGGAGGCUCAAAUGCAAUACAAUCAAUCAUACACAAAACCUCUUUUAUUUUCGCUUUUGUCCUGGAUUACCAAAUUGUCUUCAGUAUGCCAUGUUUCUCGAAAUUAUUGAGAUGAGAAUUUGUAUUUUGUAACUUUUUCUAAUAAUAAAUUAUUUAGUUAUUCUUCCAGAAUGAUUAAAAUAAUUACGUCGAAAAAUAAAUAUAAUUCUGCAUUUAAACAAAAUAAUAAAAAUUCUGUAAAUCGCUUUUGGGAUAGCAUGCAAAUGCAAUGCAUAUCAGCCAAAUUUUGUUUUUUGUUCAUUGUUUAUGUAUUUAUUUUGUUUCUAGUUUUUCAAAUAUACUAAAUUAUUACAAAUGGGCUAAACCAUUGAGUAAAAGUGGGCCUCUAUUUAAAGUUUAGGUUUAUUAAAUAGGAUUAAUCCAAAGAUAAAGUUGGUCAAGACCCACCAAAAAAACGAAUGGAGGGGAAAAAACAAUUGUCAACAACGGGGCCAUUACCUUGGACUAGAGAAAAAUUACAUGAGAUAUAUGCUUUUCAGAUAUUACUUUUGAUGGACUUUCUUUUUCAAAGUGUGACAGGUUCACACCAAACCGUUAUGCUUUAUUUCAAUUUUCAUUUUGGUUCAAAUAAACUUGGGGUUUGUCCCAUUAGUUCUUGUCUUUUGUGGAGUCAGCAAAUAGGUCGUAUGUGACCGUUUGAGAUCUCCUUUAUGUACCAGCUGACUACAGCUUUCAGGAAAUAAUCAGAAAAUCAUUUCAGUCAUCUCAACCUUAUCUCUCUCUCUCGCAAAGCUCCAAAGCUAGCACAUUUAUCCCUGAGAUCCUGUUCUUCAAGGUGAUCCUUCUUUUAGAUCACUUUCUAGUCUUGAUUUCUCCUAUCUUAAGUUCUUGGUGAGCUCUAGAUUGGACUCUGGUUACUCAGUUCUAACCAUACUGUUACAUUGGUAUCAGAAGUCUCUCGAUUCUCGGCGCUGCAAUGGUGGAAACACGGCUCCAGGAACGAUCUCUGACCGAACAGGUCGACGAGAUGCGCUCGCUACACACCCUCCUCGCAGCGGAGGUUAAGAACCAGAACGACUCCCUCAACUCCCGUUUCGACAGACUUGAAGCGAUGAUGUUCAACAACAUUUCCCCCCUCCAAGCCGUCGGAAAAGCCCCGAUGGACCCUGGCCCGUCUCACCCACCCACCCCCAUCUCAAACAUCAACCCUAACCAACCCCCCGACCCCCCCGAUACCACCGGUUACUCUGACCAACGCCCAGAUAGAACCCCCUCACCCCACCACGGCUUAGCCUCGCGCCUUUCAAAGAUAAAGUUCCCAUCUUUUGACGGCACAAACCUUCGCGACUGGAUUUCCAACUGCGAACAGUUCUUUGACAUCGACAACACCGCACCGGAGCUUAAGGUCCGCUUAGCGUCGAUGCACCUCACCGGUAAAGCCACCCAAUGGCACCACAACUAUAUGAGUACACGUUACGGGAUCUUCCCUUCGUGGACUGAAUAUGUUGUGGCCAUCUCUGGUCGCUUCAGCGAGCUCUACGAUGAUCCACUGGCUGAGCUGGUCGAGUUGAAACAAGGCUCUGACUCGGUGGUUGAGUUUCUCGACAAGUUCGAAACCGCCAGAAUGAGACUCAUCCUCCCAGAGGCUCACGCCCUAAGCAUCUUCCUAGCCAACCUGAACCGUCAUCUGUCACUCCACACUAGGCAGUUUGAGGUCUCAUCCGUCGCUGGGGCUGCGAAGAUCGCCAUGCUUCACGAAUCUUCCCUUAAACACACACCCUCCAAACAACCCAAAGCUCCCUUCAAUCCCACCCAUAAACAAAACCAACCUUACUACCACAAAAACCCUCCCCUACUCCCGACCCCAACUACACAAAACUCCACCCCUAAAGCCCUUACCUUUCCCACAAACAACGAUAAACCACCCCGAAAGUACUCUUACCAAGAGAUGCAAGACAGGAGAGCAAAAGGUCUCUGUAUGUUCUGUGACGAGGUCUACACACCAGGCCAUUACUUACGAAAUUAACUUGCUGAAAACAAUAAAUUGAAAAGGAGUAUAUUGGUGAGUUUGUAAACUGUUUUUAUACUACUGUCUUGCUCCAAGCCCCAUUAAAGCCCUAUGGACCAGUACAAGAGGCGGGACUGGACCUCAGAGUUUCUGAUCUACUAACGGAUGACCUUCAGUGGAACAAGGAUAAGAUCGAUAAGUUCUUACCAGACUUUACAAAGCAGAUCCAGUGUCUUAAGCCAAGCAAGGAAGGUGCAGAGGAUAUUUACGUGUGGCUCCCCCUUGAGUCUGGUGUCUACUCCACUAAGUCGGGUUACAACUCUAAAACCCAGCUCAAUGCACACACACACCUGCAACAGAGAACCUCAAAUCCUCCUCCUAACCUGGAAUUCGACUGGCUGAAAGAUGUGUGGUCAAUCAAAACAGCGUCAAAACUUAAGCUUUUCUUAUGGUCGAUUAUACAGGGAGCUUUACCUCUAGGAUCAGAACUCCAACGUCGAGGUAUGAUCAAUGCUGCUGCUUGCCCCCGCUGUAAGAAAGAGGAAUCAGCUACCCAUAUAUUCUUCCAGUGCCCCUUUGCCAAAGAAGUAUGGCGCCACAUUCCUCUCAACUCAUCAGUUCACCUAGCUGAUGCAGAGACUUUUGAAUCCUAUAUGGGGCAAUUCCGAAGCGCCCUCUGUCUCCCUCCUACAGGCAUCAGAUCACCAGUGCUCCCGUGGAUCUGCUGGUCACUAUGGACGGCAAGAAACAAGCUGAUUUUCGAUGAUAAAACGGCUCAACCACUCGAAAUAGCGACAAAAGGGCUUGCAGCUGCACUUGAAUGGGACCUAGCUCAGAGCACCGAUCAAUUGAAGAGAAACCAAGUAUUCCCCCAAGCUCCAAGCCGACGACAAAUACCAGGAAUCCAAUCAUACCCCUCUUGCUUCGUAGACGCAGCGUGGGAUGCCUCCUCCAACCGAGCAGGUAUCGCUUGGCAUUUCACCAACGAUCUAGGGACCAACUCUCCUCCAGGAUCCCAGAUCAUAGACAAUGUGGCUUCCCCCCUCAUGGCGGAAUCGCUGGCGCUCAGACAAGGAAUCAAAGAAGCCCUAAGUCUAGGGAAGAAGUCAGUUUCGUUUCACUCCGAUUGCGCAACGCUCAUCAGAGCAAUCUCAACCCAAAGUCAGAUCAAGGAGAUCUAUGGUGUUCUUCAGGAUAUCAAGCAUCUCUCAGCAAACUUUGAUCGCAUCCAAUUUCUGCAUAUCUCCCGUUCCCAGAACAGAGAGGCAGACUAUCUAGCUAAAGUGGCCCUUAAGGCCCAUCCGUUUCCUUCUUGCUUUGUUAUGGGCUAGCCUUUGGGUCUAAACCUUCAUUUGUUUCAGUUUUUAAGUUCUAAUAUAUUCAGUUGUUCAAAAAAAAAGUAAACUGUUUUUAUAUUAAAAAAACACACAUGUAUUUUUGUAAACUAUGCACAAAUUAUUUCUUCUUUACAAAAUAUUUUCUUUUUUACUGUGAAUGCAGCAUGUGACUUCACUUGCCCCAUACUUGACACAAAUGCAUCCACCUCAAGAAUUACUGGAGUUUAAUCAAAUCAAGAAAAUAUAACCGUAUUGAGCAAAGAUUAGUUUGAGAGGAAUACAAUAACACACAAAUAAAUUUGAAUAAUCCAGUGAGUCAAUGACAAUAUCUGUCGGCAUUGACUCAUAAAUAUCUAGUACUUCUAAUUCUAUCGUAGGAUACCAUGAAUCAUCUAUAGAUGAUAUUGAAAUGAUUAUACAAUGGGCCCCAUGAUCCUUCAUGGCUUUAGUUUGUAUUUUGUUCAAAACUUCAAGUAACUAUCAUUACACUGCUUACAAUCGGUAAAAAGAUAUCACGGUAAGUAAGAACACCUGCUUCGUAUAGAUACUAAGAUUAGUCUAAAAUCUGAACAUCUUAUUAAAACUAACGAAAAUUAUUCACGACUGUGGUUAAACCGACCAUAGCCUAUACUUGUUACAUGUCUCACGACAAUUCUAGAUGUUCAUUCAAAGCCUAAAUGAGAGACUCAUUACAGGUUAAAAUGAGCCGAGCCUAGCCUAGCUCACAGCAGCUGGAACUUUACAUCGAGAACUACAAUGCUGACGUCAGAUCCAACGGCUGAGAGCGGUUGUAAGGCUAAUCUUUUCUGACCUCAUCAGAGAGAGAAAGAAAAAAAAACGAUAUAAAGGGUGACACUUUGCCAAGAGACACAGAUAGAGAAAGAAAAAAAAGCUCGAAAACUGAUAAAAAAAAGCUAAAGAAGAAGAAGGAAGAAGAUAGAGGCGGUACUGCUCCGCCAUUAAUGCCACCACUCAACGGGAACACCUUUCUCACUCUCUUUCUUGGUUGAGAAUUGAGACUUGAGAACUUAAAAAAGGUGAAUAAGACUUUUGAUUAAUUCAGCAAAAGAGGUUAUACACACUUUGAUGGGGAAAUAAAAAGUUGUGAAAAUCUUUUCUUUUCACAUUUUGAUGUAUUGUCCACCUCAACUUUAAAGUUUGUACCUUUUUGCUUGUCUUAAUCUCAAGUGUGAUAUAUAGUUGAAGAUUUUGCAUAAAAGGUUCUCCCUCUCUCUCUCUGAAUCACUCAGUCAUGGGGAUUUGUUUGAGUGCCCAGGUCAAAGCUGAGAGCCCAGGUAAAAGACAUUUUCUCUCUUUGUCUCAUCUUCUGGAGGCAAAGUUCUUAGAUUUGUUAUUUCUUCACCUGCAAGUUUUGAUUAUUUCAUCUGAGGGUUAGGGUUUUUGUUCUAAAGAUUCUGUUAUGUUCUGUUUUUUUUGUGGGUUUAGUGGCAAGUCCCAAAGAUACUAAAAGUCUUGGGAGUAAGGGUUCAUCUGUGUCUGUAAGGCCCAGCCCUAGAACCGAGGGUGAGAUCUUACAGUCUCCAAACCUCAAGAGUUUCAGCUUCUCAGAGCUUAAAUCAGCAACCAGGAAUUUCAGACCAGACAGUGUGCUUGGUGAAGGUGGAUUCGGUUGUGUCUUCAAAGGAUGGAUUGAUGAGAAGUCUCUCACUGCCACAAGACCAGGAACCGGUUUGGUUAUUGCUGUCAAAAAACUUAACCAAGAUGGUUGGCAAGGUCACCAGGAGUGGCUGGUAAAAAAAACCGCUAAAAUAAGCCAAAUAUGUUUUUUUUUAAUAUAUAAAAUAUAUGGUUUUUGCUUUUAUUUAUUAUCCUUUAUGUGUUUGAAUGAUUUUGCAGGCUGAAGUUAAUUAUCUUGGCCAGUUUUCUCAUGGACACCUUGUGAAGUUGAUUGGUUAUUGCCUAGAGGAUGAGCACCGUCUUCUUGUUUACGAGUUCAUGCCUCGUGGUAGCUUGGAGAAUCAUCUUUUCAGGAGUAUGUCACACCUUUCCUCUUUUGUCUUAUCUCAGCACAGCCUCAUACUAAAAGCUUUUUGUGAUGUUUUCUUGGGUGACAGGAGGUUUGUAUUUCCAGCCUUUAUCUUGGAAACUACGGUUGAAAGUUGCUCUUGGCGCUGCAAGGGGCCUAGCCUUUCUUCACAGCUCCGAGACAAGAGUGAUAUACCGUGACUUCAAGACUUCUAACAUCCUUCUUGAUUCGGUAUUUUUUUUUAACAUCCCUAAUCUUUCUUUGAUGCAAUAGCCAUUGACUUCAAGUACCAACUUCAUGUUCAUGAUCUCAGGACUACAACGCUAAGCUUUCUGAUUUUGGGUUGGCUAAGGAUGGGCCAGUUGGUGAUAAAAGUCAUGUGUCUACUCGGGUCAUUGGUACUCACGGAUAUGCAGCUCCUGAAUACAUGGCAACCGGUAAGAGGCCUUUGGGAUCGGUAAGAUCGGGUUUUUCGGGUCGGUUAGUUUGGUUUGGCCGGACCGAGUUGAAUCAAAAAAGUACAGUCGGUUAGUUUCGUUUUUAAAAUUUCUGCCGAAGUUAAUCAAUUUUUUUGAAUUCGGUUAAAUUUCGGUUUAAAUGGGUUAAAAUUUGAAUAAUUUCAGGUAGUUCGGUUUGGAUUUUGGUUAGUUAAGUUCGAAAUUUUGGUUAAGAUUGGCUUUCGAAAUUUUUUUUCAAUUGCUGAACCAAACCUCCUAACCGAACUGAACCGUAAACCGAAACCGUUCUGUUCUGAUAUUAACGGCAGGCCUACCUAUUCUUCUUAUGAUUGAUCACUUUGGAUUGUCCUUAGGUCAUCUAACAACAAAGAGUGAUGUCUAUAGCUUCGGUGUUGUCCUUCUGGAGCUCUUGUCUGGUCGCCGAGCUGUUGACAAGAACCGACCAUCCGGAGAGAGGAACCUCGUGGAGUGGGCUAAACCAUACCUAGCGAACAAAAGAAAGAUAUUCAGAGUCAUCGACACUCGUCUUCAAGACCAAUACUCAAUGGAAGAAGCUUGCAAAGUGGCAAUUCUCUCUCUGAGAUGUCUCACCACAGAGACUAAGCUUAGACCAAACAUGAGCGAUGUAGUUUCCCACCUUGAACAUAUUCAGUCUUUGAACUCUGCUAGAAGAGGGAUUAUGGAUAGGACAGAGAGAAGAAUGCGUAGGAGAAGCGAUAGCGUUGUCGGCAAGAAACCUAAUGCAGGUUUUGCUAGACAGACCGCGGUGGGGAGUACACUUGUUGCUUAUCCUCGCCCAUCAGCCUCGCCGCUCUAUGUCUGAAGGUGUAAUUAAACACGUCUUGGUUAUGAAGUGCAUGUAAUCAUGUCCUGUUUAUGGAGUUUGAAUGUACAGUUUUGUCUUUGUUAAUGUAAGGAUUUAGUUCUAUACAGUUCAUCUUUCAUUACAUGAAGACAGACAUUUAGUUUUGAUCUUUUGUAACGAUUCAUUAACAUAAGUUACACGACAAACAGACAAAAGAAAACGAUACUAACGUGCCUUGGGGUUGACGUCAGAACCAAAGCUUAAGUUAAUGUCUAGUGAACUUGUUGCGUUUAUGUCUCUUGUCCUCUUGUUUUCAGAUACCAGACACUCUUUCAGUUCAUGAACUACAUGUGACAUGUUGGGUCUUUCUAAGGAAGAAGGAAACACACAUGUCAUUGCUAGUUCAAGAGCUUUCCAUGCUGAGCCAGAGUCAUACACCCCUUGGAGUUUAGGAUCCAUAACAUUGUUAAUAUCUCCUCUAGUAAGCAUAAACUUCACCCAUUCGGAUAUGUGAGGCUUUUGGCGUGUUUGAUCGAUCACAGGUUUGUUUGUUAUGAUUUCUAAUAGUACAACGCCAAAACUGUAGACAUCACUCUUCUCAGACAACCUAUUUGUUUGGUAAUAUCUGCAAAAUAAAAGAAAACAAUUAAAACUCCUCAAUUAUAAUUUUGUGAAAAGCCAAUACUUACUCAUGAUCAAGAUAUCCAGGUGUGCCAGCUACAAGAGUAGACACUUGAGUUUCACCUCCAACUGGGAAAGAUCUAGAAAGUCCAAAGUCUGCAAGCUUUGCUUGGAACUGAUCAUCUAGUAGUAUGUUGGAACUUUUUACAUCUCUAUGAACUAUUAACGGUUUGCAGCCAAUAUGUAAGUACUCCAACCCUGUCUCAAGAAUUCAUUAGUGUUAAUUAAUCAAAAUAUUUUAGAAAAAAAAUGAGAAUGGUGAUUUCUAAAUCUCUUAAGGAGUGAUAAACAAACCUAGUGCUGCAUCAAUAGCUAUGUUUAGUCUAUCUACCCAGCUCAUAGUGGAGCUACCUGUAUGUAAUAACAAAUCUAGUAAUGAAUGUCAAAUAAUCUUAGGAUGUUACCAGGCUACCAGCACAAAAUAUAAAUGUGUUACCUGACAAAUUUUGUUUCAAAUCACCAUUGGCCAUGUAUUGAUAGAUUAGAGCCAAAUGGUCUUUUUCGUCGCAAUACCCAACAAGGCUUACUAGAUUUGUGUGGUAAACCCUUAGAAGAAGUUCUACCUAUCCAAACAUGAACAUAUGUACCUUACUUGACCUUACAAAAAUGGAUUAUAGUGUGCUCUUUUCAAAAAGAAAAACUAAUAAUGGUGCCAAAAAACCUCUGUUUUGAACUCUUUGUAUCCUUGUGCUGAUGAUGGAGAGAGUAGCUUAACCGCUACUUCUUCGUUACCAUUUAUAUAACCAUGAUAUACCAUCCCAAAUCCACCUUUACCAAGAACUCUUUCCAUAUUAUUUGUCAUUGCAAGAACUUCGGUGUAUGUAUAUCUUCUCUUUUUGGUUUCUAUUGAUGGUUGGCUUGGUGAAAAACCUAUAAUAAUAAGCUAACAAUUAGAAACAAUGAUCACAUUCUCAUAAUACUGAUGGGUAUGGUUUGAUGACUUUGUUCCAUAUACCUUUUCCUAUUGAUGGGCCUCUUUUCAUACAAACAAAAAGAAGACUGAUCACUGAUAUUAUAACACCCAAAGAAGCGAGUGAUGCUAUUACUGGUAACAUGGUUCUCUUCUUCUUUUUGUUGCAUGAACUGGAAGAACAAAGGUUUGGAUUUCCUUGAAUGCUAUUGUUGUAAACAGACUAAUUAAGUGUUAAUGAAGAAAUUAUACAAAUUAAGACAUGUGUUUUAUAUAAACAUCAAGAAUUGGUGACAAGAAAAUCUUACUUCAACGUCAAACCUUUUUUCACUUUGUCAAGAAGAGCUUGUGGGACUGAACCACUAAGAUUGUUCCCACUUAAGUUUCUGUAGCAGAAGAUUGACCCAAACAAAUGCUAUAAACAUCAAUAGAUAUGGACAUUGUAUUGGCACAUGUGUUCAUAUUGUUGACAGAGUAACUUACAUGACUAACAAUGAUUUCAUUUUGGCUAGGAACUCAGGUACUCCUCCAGUCAAAUUAUUAUUUGACAAGUCCCUAUCAUUAGAAAAAAAUGAGUCAACAAAGUGUUGUUAUUAACGAAGAAAAAACAAGAGUAUUCAUGUAGAAACUACGUACAUACUUACAAUUUUUGAAGCUGGGUAAGAUUUUGGAUCUCAGGAACUAUGAUUCCAGUGAUUUCACUUGAGGACAAGUCUCUAGUAUUAGAUCAUAAACAUAUUAGAAGUGUAAGAUUGUAAGAAACACAUGCAGAGCAUAACAAGGAUAAUGUCUUAUGAAUGAUCAUCACACGUACAAGGAAAGAAUUCUUGGUGGUGUAGAAAUAUUAGUGUAUUCGCAGGUAAGACCAUCCCACAAGAAUUGUUGAGGAACACAUGGAUCUCCUUGCCAACUAAUUCUACUCAACCCAUAGCUUGUUUCUAUACUCUUGAUAGCAACAACUAACAGAACAGUGAAGAUAAACUACUUAAUAAGUAUAUACGAAAGCAUAUAUAUACUCACAAAUUUCACAUACCGUCAUCUGUAUUAGUUUCUGACUGUGGAAACUCAACUACUACGAAAGCCUCAAUAGCAUUAAGGAGUGGAGGAAGAGUUGAGUUUAGAGUUCUUAUAAGUUGCAAAUGACAUGCCCCGCCGUCGCAUUUAACUGGUGAUGUGUUGGAUAAAGUAUUUACUAGCAACUCCUCGGGACUAACAGGUCCAUAACUAACAUUUGGACCUGCGGUAAUGUUAAAUUCCCUGGUAUCAUCGUCCCUUAAGGAUUGGAUCUCAGCACCGUGCAGGUAUGCAUAAAACAAGUCGCUAGGUGUUUCCACGUUCCAAGAAAUGGUCAAUGGUAAACUCACAUUUGCUGGCGUGGCUGCCGUAACCAAUACAUCUUCUGGUAUGUCAUAAUCGUCAUCAGAGGUAUUGACUGAGAGACUUGUUCUUAGUAGUUUCCAUUCCGACAUGAAAAAUGGAGACCAAAGACGAUCAUGGACAUCUAGUGGGUACCUAAAGAGAGAUCAUAUUAGGCGUACGUUAAGUGUAUAGUAAACAAACGCUAAUUAAUAAGAAAAUCAUCUUAACAAAGCAAAACAUAAUCGAGUCAAAUACCCGUUUUAGAGUUUGUAUAAUGACUAAAUAUCCAUAACUUUUUAGACCCAUAUUUAUACAGAUUCAAAAUUAGAUAUUCUUUUUUUAUUAACAAAUGUGACUUUUUACAGAUGCAUUGAGAUAUAAGUUACUAAUAUCAACGAACAUGUUAGGUAGGCAAGUUAAUUUGACUUACCGGACGAUGUCUCUAGAGUCGGUCAAAUAGACUCGGAACCGAUUCUUCAGAGAACCAGAUUGAGGAAUGUAAAUAUCAUUACUCAAUGGUCGUAGCUCUAAAGCUGAUAUCACCGGCGUUGUGGUUCCUGUCUUAACAAGGCAGACUUGUAAUGAAGUUGACCUCAAUAUGUGAAUGAGUUCCUCUCUUGUACCGUUGACUUUUCUUUGCAAAUCGACCGUGGUCCAAAUAUUCGGACCAAGAUAAAGGUCAAACUUUGGUGGUGUAUCAAGAUUAUCAUAGUUUCCAUAAGUAAACAUAGCUACGAUCAAAUAGUUUGUGUCUUGUACGACGCUAAGAGUAUAGCAGUUCCGUACUCCAUCGGGAAAGUAUCUCAACACCGUGUAUGGCUUUAUAUACUCUAGUCCCGGAACAUUUUGAAUCCUACCGCUUUUUCCAGUUUUGAUGAAAUCAGCGUCUGAUGUGAAUAUUAACUUUGUUGUUGGUUCUGUAUAUGGAGACUCGUUGGCUUGUAAUCCGCAAUCUAAGUUGAUGAAUCCUGGUCAGAACAAGAUGUUAAGCUCGCAAACACCAAAUGAAUGUCUAGAAUGUUAAGCUUGCAAACACCAAAUGAAUGUCUAGAAAGACCUGAAACAAAAAGGUGUAUACCUUUUUGAUCUUGUGCUUGAACAAAACUGGAAAUGCCAAAAGACAGUACUAAGAAUGACAACAAAAGUCUACGAAGAUUUUUCAUUUUUUUUUUCUUUCAAAGGAAAACAAUCAUCGAUUACCAAAACACUAACAUAAUUGUAUACAAAAUGGGUACUUGCAUAUAUAAUAUGCCAAAUCAAACAUUUGGAUAUAUAGAAAAUGGAUGAAUAAUUGAGUAACUAGGUGAUGACCCGUGCCCUGCGCGGGGUGAAUGGUCUCUGCGCGGGGUAAAUGGUCUAAAAGAGAUUAUACAUUUUAACCUAUAGUUAUUGAAAAGGUAAAACAAAAAGUGGCAUAUUAUACUUGGUAUAGAUUAGCAGAAGUAACGUUUGAUAUAAUGAUUAAUUCAAAGAAAACCAAUUUGGGAUUGGAAGUUAAUUUACUCGAUGUUUCAGUUAAAAAACAAGUUUACUGGAGUGUCCGGAUAACGAUAAUCUUAUUAUGGUCGAGAAACAGUAAUUGUCCUAUUAUCAAAGUUGUAUCGUUAUAUUUUAGUAAAAUUAUACUGAUUCCGGAGUACAUAAAAUUUAUAAAAGAAUAGAAAUAAAUUGAAGUAAAUAAUAUUAGGUCGGAAAAAAAAGUAAAUAAUAUGAGUUUACAAAUUUAGUGGGGUGAUUAGGACUCGAAUUUGUAAAAGAGGCCUAUUAUUGAACUUUAAUAUUGAUUGUGACUCAAAAUACAUAUGAGUCUCUUUUAAUUUAUCUUUUAUUUAAAAAGGUAUUUUUACUAAAAAAUCUCGAGGGGACACGAGAUAAGGGGCUACGGUUAAGCCUCUCCGCCCGAUCUAUCUUCUCAUCACCUGAGAAAUAAACAUAUUUCAUUAACUAAGCUCAAUCCCAAUAUAUAAGAAGAUUAAAAGCUGAAUCGAGUAACUCAAGUCUCAGGAAAUUUGAACCGAUGAAUUGUAGAUCGACAAAGGCCCUAUCAACAAACCUCCUGAAUAUUUGUUAAUUUCUAGAUGCAUCGAGGACACAGUAAGCUUUCAAUAUAAUCACUUAUAGUCCCCAUAUUAUUUGAAGUACUGUAUUUUGUCGACUUCGUGAAGCCGCAAGUGGUAUAUCUUAGUGAAAAGAAAGGGCUGGAAAAGACUUCUGCAAUUAAAAUCGGAGAAGUGUGUACUGACUAUCGCUCCUGACAAAAUAUCUCCUGAAGUUUGUUUAAUUCGUUGACGCAGCGGUUACAUGGUAAGAUUUCAAUUUAUAUUCUUAUAUAAAUCUGAAUGAUCUGAAUUACUGAAUUGAUUAUAAGAUUAUUUAUUUGGCGUUUAUUUUAGUUUCCAUUUACAUGAAGUCGCAAAAGGUGUAUCACAUUCAUCGUGGACAGGUUAGAUUCCGACCUUAUCGUUUAUGGGUAAUAUAUAUUGCUUGAAAUUUAUUAACAAUCACAUGGAGGAUAAAGUUGAUACUUGAUGAUAAAAAGAUAGUAGUAAACUUAAAAUAAAUAGUCGUUAUCAAUAAAAGGCAACAAUUGCAUACUGAAAUAAAAUAUAACUCCAAGAAUGAUCAUGAACAUACCAACAUAGAACUUUGGAUGAGUUUAUAUACACAUAGACAAAAUGAGUUUAUAUACACAUAGUCAAAUAUCAUGAACAUACCAACAUAGAACUUUGGAUGAGAAAGACCAAGAAUGAUCCAACGGAAGUUGGCUAGACAAAUGUAGUUACAAUCAUUGAUCAGUUCAAUCUUGGAAACAACAUAUGAUUCAGAUAACUUGAUAUGUUAGGUGUCAAGGAAAAAUUAAACAGAAUCUUAGAACAUUGUUGUCUCAUUAAAGGAUCAAACUGUGAAACCAGUCCUUUCUAACCGAUGUAUGGAUUUUGUCUCCCUACAAUAUAAUAACAAAUGAAAGCAUCAGAUAAUAAACACAUAAUUUGCUUACGAUUUAAAGAAUAUACAUCAUAAGAAACCUAAUUUUUUCGUCUACGAAAACCAUUCAAUGGUUUCUCCAGUAGGAGCCAAGUACUACUUCCAAAGUUUUAUGACAUUCACCAUAAUCUUCUACAAAAACUUUUUGGCUUCAAGUCAGAAAUGAAAUUCAUGCUUAAUAUAUUUUUGCUAGUUUUGAAACGUGUAGUUUGUGAUAUUGUAGCUAUAUAGAUGAUAUGAUAUAUAUAUAGUAACUGAUAGGGUUUUGACCCACGAGAUUUGAAAAAAUAAAUAAUUUUCGCCAUAAAGCAAUAUUACAAAUCCCUAAUUGUUAGUAGAUUUCCAGACAAGUAUAGAAAGUAAUAUACACAUAGGGAUUAAAUUAAGGAAGUCUACAUUAAGAAUGACAUAUUCUUUAAACUGAAUCGGAAAAUUUAAAUUUCCAAAUUUAAUGUCUGUCAACAUUUAUGUUAAUUACGUAAUCAAAAAGUCUUGUAAUCAAAAUUAAGAGAUAGCCUAGAAAAUUUUAAUACAGUUUCACCAAUUUUUGAAUGUAUUUUACUAUCACUCAAGAUUGCUUAUAAAUUUUUUAUAUACGACACUUUGAUUUUACAAUAUAAUUUUAUUUAUAUUUUCCAGUUUCAAAUUAAAUUUUACUCACAUAUAUAAUUGUCUCUAAAUAAACCAAAAUAAAUUUCACAAACCAAAUAAUUAUAGAAGAACAUAAUUAUGAAUCGUUUAUACAUUCCAGACCUUAAAAAAUGUCAUGUAUCAUUCAUAAAUCGUAGAAUAUUCAUAUUAUAACAAUAUGAAUCGUAUAUAUGGUCAAAAUAUCAUUUGUGACUAUAAAUAUCAGAUAAUCCUAUUAAUUUCGCAUAACAUUAUAAUCUUAGAUUUCCAGACAUUAUAGAAAGUCUUAUAUGCAAGGAGCAAAAAUAAAGAAAGUCCAUAAUAAAAUGAUAUUUGACUUUAAACUUAAUCAGAGAGGAAUGAUAUAAAUUACCAAAUUUAUUGUCUGUUACCAUUUAAUAUAAUUUCGAAAUCAAAAAGUCUUGUUGCAAAAUUUAAGGGAUUGAAAAAAUUUAAUAUGAAAUUCCUUUUCAGAUGUAUUUUACAAUCACGCAAGAUAUUCAAUAGAUUUUUUAUAGACGACAUUUUGAUUUUACGAUUUAAAAAGUUUAUAUUGAUGCUAUUGAAAUAAAUUCCCAAAAAAAAAUCAUGUAUCCCAUAAUAAUCCAAAAAUAUUAAUCAAAAUAGAUGUCACCUAAAGAAGUUUUAUAGAAGAACGUAAUUCUGAACCGUUUAUAUUUUCCAGUCCUAAAAAAGGUCAUGUUUUAUUUAUGAAUCGUAAAGAACAUGAAUCUUAUAAAACAUGAAUCAUAUAUAUAGUAAAAACCUCAACAAUUUUUAUUAAAACAAAAUUAUGUAUGAUAGCUUCUAUGAAAUAAUACAACAUACACAUCGAAGAAUCCACUAAUAUUAUACUAAAAAUUUGUAAAAUAAUGAAGCAUACACAUCGCUCAAUCCACUAAUAUUAUGCUAAAAAUAUAGAUAACUAUAUUUUACCGUUCUUUUUGUGGCUAUAUAUGUUUUGUUCGAUAAUUAUUAAAAUCCAUUGAAGUGAGUAACUAUACCUUGAAAUGGUUCAUGUUAUAUAUGCAAGGCUUCUUCUCACUGAUCAAAGAGAGAUAAUGUUGUAGGUCAUAACCAUCGGUUACGUCUCUCUUUGACCAAUAGAAGAACGAAAGUUAGCUUACUGAUGUUUCCACGCAAUGGUUAUCUCGAGUAUUGUCUACGUUUUUAGUAAUGCAAUAACAACUCAUAUAGUAUAGUAAUAUAAUCUCUUCAUAUUAUUAAAUUUAAUGAGCAAUGGCAUUAUAUGUAAUUAGUCUAGGCAAUAAAGGGCUAUUUAAUAAAGGGUGUGAGAAUGAUUCUCAUGAUGACACAUAGGAAAUGGCAUUUUUGUUAAUCACACAUGGUGAUAAGGUUAAUUGUUUAAAAUGCUCAUCAAAUAAUAAAAAAGGGAUUAAAUUAAAUUUCUAUAGCUAGUAAGGACUGGUCAUAGUUAUAGCCGUUAUAGGUAAAUGUCAACGUGCACAUUCCAAUAACAAUAGGGCACGUCACUGAUGGUCGGACCAGAGUAGAAAUAUUCUUUUUAUCAACUAGCUACGAUGGUCUUCUUGUAACUUAGACUUUUUUUUGUCAAGUGGGGUUAUAAUACAAUCUUACAACUGUGAUGAAAACUGAAGUAUUCUUUGAUAUGACAUAAUAUCGCAUAACUCUACUCCUUGCUAACUAGAGUUUCAUGAUUGCCAACUGAGACAAAACAGUGUUAUUAUUUAUUUUUUUGUCGGCUGUCCAUAUCGAUUAGAUCAAAUCAGUUUUAUUACAUAGUUUAUCUACGAGGAGAUAACAUCCAAGGUAUCACCAAGCCUGCCAUCCGUCGUCUUGCUCGUCGAGGAGGUGUCAAGCGUAUUAGCGGACUCAUCUACGAGGAGACCAGAGGAGACCUCAAGAUCUGUUACGGCUAUGGAUGUGGUUUACGCGUUGAAGAGGCAAGGACGCACUCUCUACGGUUUCGGCGGUUAAUCAAAAGAUUGAGAUUAGGAGAUGAGGUUAUCUGGGAGUGUAUUGUUUCUGUUAUCCAAUUUGAUUAGUAAAAAGUAAAACAAUGUCUUGUAGGCAAUGUGAUCUUCAUGUAGCUAAAUCUCAGCAAUCUUUGCUGGGAUUCUUAAAUGAAAGUUGUGUUUGAACCAUAUGAUCUCUAGUAUCUCAAAUUCAAUUUCAUUCUUUGAUACUCUGUUUAUUUCAAUAUUGCAUUGGGUUGUGGGUAACCAUAACUGUAAUGGUCAAUGAACUAUGCUCUGAGUUUGUAACCUGAACCAAAACACUCGUCGAGCUACUCUAGAGAAUAACCAUAUUGUUCUACUAUUAGAUUAAAAACGCAUAACUACAAUCUACGAUGAGAUUGAAACAUUCAUCUUUCCAUUACAGACUUUGUCCUGGAAAACCCCAUGUUGACGAACCAAAAUGAGAUGACAAACAUUUUUAUCUAUCCAAAUGGUAUCGUUUCGAAAUUUUAAAAUAACCAAAGACGCUGACUUUGAUUUAAGCAACAAAGUGAAUAUUUCAGCUAAAACUAAGAGUCUUAAACUCUAAAUAAUACGCCUUCCUUCGUUUAUAAUCUUCCUACUACUCCGUCUUUUGCUUCGCAGAGGGAGUGCGAGGUGAGUAACGGUAUCCACUGGUCAACCUCCCUACAAACUUGAGAACUUCAUCUAUCAGAAUCACAGGAAGCGACACCGCCAACACCAGCAGCCACUCGUUCAAACUCAGCGGCACUAUCCCAAACACCUGCGCCAAGAAGGGCACGUACAGUAUCACAAAAUGCAGCCCAAACGACACCGCCAUCGCCAAGAGCAGCCACGGGUUCACCCACGGCGGCAUCGUCACUAGGCUCCCGUCCUCCGAGAGCGCGUUCAGUGAGUUGAACAUCUCAAUCGCCACCAACACCGAGAGGGAGAGCGUGGACGCUUUGAUCUUCCCCUGGUGGAAGUACUCGCACGGGUUUGACUCGAAGGAGAAUGUCUGAGAGCCGGCUGUGAAAGGAGAGACUUUGAAGCCUUCCCAUGAUGAGCACUGCCCCCAGUGAGCUAGCUGUGAGUAGCUCACAAGGCUGUGACCGUCUUGGCUCAGGUCUAUGCCCAUGAAGCUGCUGUGUGUGUACCAUAUGAUGAAUA